UUCCUUAAUAUUCACCGUCGAGUCAUCAAAGCCGUCAACUAAUUCAGAGGGGCUCGGCUGGCCCGGUCGCCCUACGCUACUGGCGCUUCCAAAGGCGAAGCUCUCGUCUUUGGCGACCAGCAAACUCUGGGCUAAAACCUGUAGUUUUGAAGCAAGGGAUGAGCGUGAAAGCCGUUGCGCUUCCGUACACGCGCAUACGUUUUCUUGCUCCGUCGCGCGUUAGUACAAUAACGCGCAGCCGUUUUCUUGCUGGGGCGGACACGGAUUUCUCUCUAAAGGCGAAGACUCAGAAGUGGGCGAACACUCAGCCCAGCGGGCGAACAUGCCGGCUCCGGCUCCGCGCACCUGCUGACACCUUUCGAAGCACUUUCACGUGUGAACCGAAGUCGUCUUGCCGAACUCCUUCCUUUCUCAUUUCAGUCCUCGCCUUUUUCAUCUUCCGUAGGGGCCUUUAGUCUUUUGAUUAGAGUAGAGGUCGCGAGAGAGCAGAGCGUACCGCCCUGCCAUAGUCGCGAGGAUCUUAAUAGUCGGUCGCGACUGUUGUCAUAGUCAACGACGGUUGAAACUUCUAGGUCACGCUUGAGCUCGUGAGACCCCGGUUGCCACUACUGCGGGCACUUGGCUCCUACAUGGAGGCCCAAGACCGCUAUCCAGCAUGAUGCGUUAGACAUGGCCUAAUAGAUUGAAUGUGACACAUUUUAAUACAACGAAUCUGAACAGAGAUGAUACAUUCUAAUACAACGAAUCUGAACGGAGAUUUAUUCAAAUCCGUUUACUAGGAUAUGUCACAUUCAAUCUAGGUUAUAAUAUUUUGAGACAGAGAUAGUAUCCAUAGGUUGAUUUAUCUAUCACAACUUUGUAGCUUAUGAAAAUGAAACAGUACUAAAAGAGAAACUAAAAGGAAUGCCUACACUACCUCAACCAUGACAUUCGGUAAUUGGCUUUCAAACACAGGGCCGUCAAUAAGCACGUUUGAGUAAGACGACGGAACAUGCCCCUAAAGUUUUCAUAUUUUAAUGAGUAAAUGUCACUUUGGUCCAUGUAUAUUUACCAAAGUGGUAACUUGGACCAGGGUAAAGUCUAAGUUUUCACAUGGUACCAUCUUUUUUUACCAUCCUUUGCAUAUUGUACCAGGGUUUACCGGCAACCAAGCUAAUCUUUGGUCCAACCCACGUGAACAACAGCGUUUUGGCUCGUGCGGCGGACUCGUCGCCUCGACAGUGAUGGGGAGCACGGCGGCAGCGACGACAUGCAUCUCUCAACGUCGAUGAUGCCUCCGCAAGUCCACAUACAUCGACCGCCCCGCCUCCAUCGUGUAGGGUCCCUACUCCCUCGACGUCGCCUCUGCAUACAAAUGACCGCCCCCGCCGCACCAUCAUGUAGGAUUAACACAUGGUGGGACACACCAAGCAGCCACCGUCGCUGCUGAAGAUCGUCGACGGCGACGAGAUCUAGUUGUUUGCUUCGCUGCAGCAUUAUGCUGGCGCCGCCGAUCCGGGUGAGCCCCGAGUCCAGCGUCGUCGUCAAGGAUAGCGAGAGCCGAGAGCUCGUUGCCGCCGCCGUCAUACACGACGACAUAGCCUUCCCGUGCUUCAUGCCAUGCUCCUGCAAAAUAUCAGCACUUUGAUCAGUGACCAAUUUGGGUUGAUAUAAACUCUGAAGCUAGCGGAUAAACAAGCGCAUCCAUCCGCACGCGCAUGCACGCUAGCUGCCGACUGGUUGCUCAAGUCAAGUGGGUAGCUAAUUAAGAAGAUGAUGCCUAUAGUGAUGGAGCUAUACCCUAUACUUCGUAAUAGCCAUGCCUUGUGAUCAUCAUCACGGCGAGGUCCAGCAGCCUGGGCGUGUCUGGCAUCGUCCGCAGCAGCAGCGGCAAGCAGGGACUCCUCCGGCGCCAUGGGCGGAUAUGCUACGACCUACUGUGCUCCGCUCCAGCCAAAACGCUGCUCUUCACAUGGAUUAGGCCAAAUCUUAGCUUGGUGACCCAAUUAAACGGUAAACCCUGGUGCAAUUUGCAAAGGGUGGUAAAAAAAGGUGGUGUUAUGUGAAAACUUAGACUUUGCCUUGGUCCAAGUUGCCACUUUGGUAAAUAUACAUGGACCAAAGUGACAUUUACUCUAUUUUAAUCCAUGCUUUGAAACCUAAUUUUGAAACUUUUACCAAAAAAAAAAAACACACACUUUUCACAAUUGGCAAGAACCAAAUACAUGCUGACAGCAUCACGUUACCAGCCACCACCAACAACAAACAAAACUAGAGAACGUUUCGAGCCUUUCAUGUUCCCAAAAUUUAUGCAUUAUUUUACUCUCUUAAAGAAGCGAACACGUACAGAUCGACUCCUAUUUAUUAUGCGAUUCAUUUCCUACUUAAAUUGAGACAGCACAGCAGAUCAACAAGACAAUGUAUAAUGGUAUUCAGCAGUGCGAAUCCAGCCAUGAAAUGAUGUCGUUAAUGGCAGUUGAAAUCCGGUCAUCAGGUUCACCCUCUAAGAUAGAAUGAUAUCCAUCUUCGUAGAGCUUGAGAGUCUUGUCUUUUGUGCUAGCUUUCUCGUACAGGAAUUCGCUGACAUGGGGGUCGGUAACCAAGUCUGCUGCUCCGUGGAGAAUCAGCAAUGGGGAACAAAUCUGUCAAGUAAAGAGGGUUUCGCAUUUGUAACUAUUUUUCAAAAGAAGUGAUGGCAAUGGUUGCUUCCAGGCACUGAAUAAUUUAGAAAAGGGAAUUCAACCGCUUAAAAAGAUAAGGUAAAAGCAACACUGACCUUCUCCAACUGGGAUUCUAUGUCCUUUGUAGCCUUCAAAAGUUCAACUGCUGUCCUCAACCUCAUUUGUUGGGUAUAUGAAAUGGCAUUGUACUCAGCCUGGAAGUUGAAAAUAGAGAGGAUUUAUAGCAUUUAGAUGUUUCAACAAGCUUUCUAGUACUGAUGCUUUUUUUCCAAGGUGUUAUGAUUCUUGCUAUUAACUUUUGAAAAAUAAGCAUUUUGUCAAAAAAAUAAGUACAUUCAACACUGGUGCUGGUGGUGUAACAUCUUCUGAAAUCUUGCCGAUAAUGUGCUAUUACAGUACAUUCAAACAAAGCAAGUUGAAGAUGAUAGCAUGAAAUUGGCCCAAGAAACUUACUACUUUUCUUUUACUUGGAUCUCUAAAUGCCAAAUCUCCAAUAUCUUUUUGUGGAAAUAACUUUGCUUCUGGAAGAAGGCAUGACAAUAUGCUCAAUGCCUUCAACACUGGCGCUGGUGGUGUAACAUCUUCUGAAAUCUUGCCAAAUUAAAGUCAGAACCAUAUAGACAUAUCAUACACCCAAAUAUAGAACAAGCAUAAUGAUUGGUUUAAACGCUUGCAACAAAUCAGCGUAACCGAAGAUGGUUGUUAUGAUAAAGAUCACCAAAUUUUGGUAACUUGUUCAUGCAUGAAGUAUAGUUGCAAGUAUUAUUGCACAUUGCAGUACAAAAACCAAAAAAGGGGACAUCUCACAGGUAGUUAGUAUCCAUUUCAAGUAAACUUAACAGUGGCAUUGAGUUAGUACUGCCAAUUUAAUAUAACAUUUGGUGAUAAAGUAAUUGAUAAGCCUUCAUUUACAAUGCAUUGUGCUUCCCAUGACUUGAAAGUGAACAUUGGACAAUAUACAACUAACACCCAAAACAAUAAAAAUGUUAUAGAUCACUAGAUUUGGUGAACCUUUUUCUAGAUUCUAACCUUACCUUGCACAUAGGUGCAACAAGAAGCACUCCAUCCCAUUCUUUUGGUUGUUUCAGGUGUACUUUCAAAGCCACUGCACCUCCCAUUGAUUGUCCCAAUAGAAAAUGUGGGAGCCCACGGACCUCCUUCCUGCCUAGACAUUACAAAGCAUUUCAUUAUGAUGUAUAGAUUGUAUCAUUGUAAAGCACACCGAUUCUUUGUAUGCUGGAGAUAUAUAUCAAAAACCUUUUAUCCGUGAGUAUUGUUCAAUGACAUGUUCCACCAUUCCAUCAAAGCUGGCAAUGUAGCCAUGAAGACCAUAUGAUAAACCAAAACCAGGAUAAUCCAUAGCAUAUACUGCAUAUCCUGCUGCUGCAAUUCUCUUCGCAAUCCCUGAUAAUUCCAAGAAAGUAAAAUAUGCAUAAACAAGCAGGCAACAAAAAGAGAACUCAACAGAAGAACAUAACAGUAGCAGUAGCGGAAUAAUCACCUUCGAAAAAGAAAGUGCAAGUAUCACCAUAUCCAUGGCAGAAGAAAAGUGCUGCCUUGGUGGCAGUGCCCUCCCUAGGCAGCCAACUCUUCCAGAAAAUCUCAACCCCCUUUGAAUUGGUUUCAAAAUUCUACACAGAAAGCAAUAUAACUUACUACAAAAAGAAAAAAGAAGCAAUUAAACAGCUCAUUCAAGAUUGAAAGUGCCUACUGCACUUAGAUUUGUCUUUUGAGGUCAACUGCAAAUUCAAUAUGCAAGUAACUUCAUGCCAGUAUGCCACUCCCUGUAAAAAGUUUACUUAGUGGCCUGAAUACACCACUUUCACUUUUUAAUGGAUGCCGACAUGCCAUCUUUUCCAACAGAGAAAACAUGCUGUCACAGGUAGAUUGCAUUUCUGCAAGGGAACUACUUGAACCAAAUACAAGGUAAGGUCAAUUCAAGAUCUCCAUCAAUGUGCUUACCUCUUCCAUCUGGAUUCCCUUGGGAGCCAUCUACAGAAUGAGAAAUAAGAGAUAAAUGAUUAGAAAGCAAGACCAACCGGCAUCGCACACAACAACAUUACUGGAUAACAACCAUUGAUUAUAGACAUAGUGUGUUACGCUCUGCUCUCAAGGGCGAUGAACUUUCGAAUUUUAUCAGCAUUGAUCAAAACCCAACACGCUACAAGUAUCUUUCGGUUGGCAUAAACUACAGAAUCAAAGGAUCUGACAUUCUCACUGAAUAGCUCAAUCAACAGGACUUAACUACAUAUACUGCGGCAUUCAAGCUUAGAGCUCCCUGUUCUAUACUUCUAUCCCAUGAUUAGAGCCAUUCUUAUGAGUUCAUUACGAACCCAGUAUGCUAAAAUGAAUAUGUAGUAGCACCCAAGCAGUACAAUCAACAGUACCACCGAUCCAAGAGCGACUUCACCUCAUCUUAACUGUUUACUCUACUGCUAAUCUAAAACCAUUUUUUCAAGUGGCAGGCGUACGGACCUUGAACAGGCAGUGGUCGAGGGUGGGGAGCACAGGCGCGAAGGCGCCGCGCACGCGGCGGCGCGCGGGGGCCCAGUCGAGGCACUGCGCCGCGGCGGCCCUCAGCUCCUCGCUCGCGCCCUCCAGCCUCGGCGGCUUCCUGUCCCUGGCGGCGCCGCCGGCAGCCGCCACCGCCACCGCCGCCCUCCUCCCCCCCGCGCACCCCGGCCUCGCGAGCCUCCCCGCCCGCCGCGGCGCCACCACCGCGGCGUGGCGCGGCGGCUGCAAGAUCGCCGCCAUGUGAUUCGGAGGUGGUGGGGGGACGGAGCGGAGUGGGCGUACUCCGACCUGAGAGCGAGCGAAUCAAAAUUUUUUUUUUCCACCUGUGUUAGUUUGGUUUUGGUGGGCGUUGUCUCCUCUUUGUCUGGUGCGUUUGACUGUUUCGCGGUUGCCGAGCGUGCGAACGCGGAUGUGGGCCCGCGCGGGCCAUUGGGCCCAGUCGCAAGCUGCAUCAUGUUGGGCCCAGAUGGGCUUAGGUAGGCUAUUGGGCUUUGAAAGUCUUUGGACUUCCACGCAACAUGUCUUCUUUUUCUCCUUUACUUUUUCUUGCUCUGUAUACUAUUGGGUAUUUUUAAGGAGGGUUUGAUGAUGUUAUAUACGUACCAAUCUAAAAGGAUUUGAUGAUUUGCAGACAUGUCGUUGACUUAAAGUGCCCCACGUGUUGUUACCGGGACUGUGACAUGUAAUAAUAUUUCUAAAGAGUAUAGCAAAUUACUGAAUCAUCCUUUUAAAAGAGCUUGUAGUACACUAACACUACAAGCUCUAUCUACACUCUGAAUGUGUUGUAAUUUGUUCUUGUACCCCUUUUUACAUACUAAAAGGAAAUAGAAUUUAGGUGGGGAAGCUCUUCCCUCCAUUGAAUUGGUGUUAAAAAAAACACUAACACUACACCUAGCGGUGGAGCCAUAGCUCGACGACCGGCUGUCCGGGCUUGUCGGCGCGUGCACAAUACAAUUUGGUGCUAUUAAGGGAUCGAUUAUAUUAUUAAGACAGCUCAAAAAGGCGGCACCACGUUUGUUGUGGAGGCUAGAAAUUCCCACAUUAAUCGGAGAAAAAGAAAAAAGAAAAAGAGAGUCCAAGUAAAAAUACAAUAUAAAAAUAGCUGAAAUUCGGAAUUAAAAUAAGCAAUAUUGAAAUAAGUUUCCAUAUAAGAACCCAAUGCGAGAUUAAUCUAAAUUCAAAAUAAAAAUAAAAUAAAAUCUAAAAUUAGAAAAAGAAAGGAGAGUCUAAGUAGGAAUACAAUCUAAAAAUAGCUGAAAUUCGGAAUUAAAAAUAAGCAAUAUCGAAAGAAGUUUCCAUAUAAGAACUCAAUACGAGAUUAAUCAAAAUUUAAAAUAAAAAUAAAAUAAAAUCCAAAAUUAGAAAAGGAAAGGAGAGUCCAAGUAGGAAUAUAAUAUAAAAAUAGCUGAAAUUCAGAAUUAAAAAUAAGCAAUAUUGAAAGAAGUUUCCAUAUAAUAACCCAAUACGAGAUUAAUCAAAAUUCUAAAUAAAAAUAAAAUAAAAUCCAAAAUUAGAAAAAGAAAGGAGAGUCCAAGUAGAAAUACAAUCUAAAAAUAACUGAAAAUUGGAAUAAAAAAUAAGCAAUAUUGUAAGAAGUUUCCAUAUAAGAACCCAAUAUGAGAUUAAUCAAAAUUCGAAAUAAAAAUAAAAUAAAAUACAAAAUUAGAAAAGGAAAGGAGAGCUCAAGUAGGAAUACAAUUUUGAAACAACUGAAAUUGAAAAUAAAAAAUUAAAACAUUAAAAGAACAUAAUACGGUAGUAACUAAUUUUUUUUAAAAAAAUUAUGAAAUUAGAAAAAGAAAAAUAAGAUUUCAAUUAGGAAUACAAUUUAUAAAUAACUAAAAUUUGUGAUAAAAAUAAAGACUAUUGAAAAAAAAGACCAUCUAAAACACAUGACGAGAUAAAUUAAGUAACAUGUCUAUAAAGGAGUAGAGUGGUGGCGGUUGAUACGACAUAUAAAAAUUGUUAAUAAAACACCAAAUAGAAUCCUAAUGACGAUUAAAAGGAGGAACUUCAGGUAGGCCGUGAAGCAAACAAGUAAGGCACUUGCUGGGACUUCUAGAAAGUAAAAAAAAAACCCAUUUGAUAAUCAUAUUCGAUUUUUAAAAUCUCAAUGACAAUAAAAAUGAGAAGCAGCGGGCGAGGCGUAUAGGACUAUAGUUGCAGAGCCGCCGACGGUUGACGGGACUUCUAUAAAAUUAAAAAUGAAUUCCAACGAUAGUUAUGUUCGAUUUUUAGAAUCACAAUGACAAUAAAAGAGUAGGCAACGGACGGGCUGUAGAGGGGCACAGUGACAUCGUUUGAUGGGACUUCUAAAAAUUAUAAAAAAUGAAAUUACAAGUCCAAUUUUUAAAGAUUCAGAACUUCCAAAAAGUAAAAAAACCCAAUGAUAAUCAUGUUCGAUUUUAAAAUCUCAAUGACAAUAAAGAAGGGAGGCAGCGGGCGAGCCGUAGAGGAGUACAAUGGCAAAGCCGCUGAUGGUUUGGCGGGACUUCUAGAAAGUAAAAAUGAACCCAAACGAUAAUUAUGUUCGAUUUUUAAAAUCUCAAUGACAAUAAAUAGAAGAGGAGUAUAAGGUAACGUUUGACGGGACAUCUAGAAAUUAUAAAAACAAAACCCAACGUGACAAUAAACUCUAAAAACUAUAAAAUCCAAUUUUUAAAGGUUCCAACAAGAAUGAAUAGAAAUAGUGGUAGAUCGAGCAAGCAAAUAAAGAAGGAAAUGACAUAAGGGGUAGCAACUGUGUGACUUUUAAAAACUAUAUAAUUAGAAACACGAGGAUGAUAAGGUUUGGUCUUUUAAAGUCUUAAGAUAAUGAGAUAGCUAUUUAAUAAAUUUUAAGUAAAAUCAUACUAGAAAAUAUAUGAUUUUGUUUGGGUGCUAGCCGCGCAAUUGCGCGGGCCACCCAGCUAGUUUAAGAUAAUAUUUUCAAGCACUUGACGUAGUUACAUUUGUCUGAACUGUAAAGAAUGUCUAGCUCCGCCACUUGUACCAUAUAUAUACAUCCAAUCGAUACAGACAUACAGGAGAUGGAUCAACUGACACCCAAGCAACUGCUACCAAUUAGCGCCACACUUAAUAUAUAUACACAUAAAUACAUGGAGCCACACAUUGACCUUGCAUUUAACUAAGCAUUGGUGCGUACGUAAUGCGGCAACCUGACAUGCAACCCUGACGAGAGCCAGCGCGCGGCUCGUUUUGUUGCACAGCUUGCACUGCUCGACAUGCCUGCACCUUCUCUCUCUCACAGCUGCUGCUUUCGCAUAUCUGCUCGUUUUGUUUAACCGGCACUCGAUCCGUUGCCUAAACAAUUAGCAGCUCGACAGCGAUUGGCGACGCCAACGCUGUGGAUGAUCGAGAUCGAUGCUGUCAGUUUGGUUGAUGAUGUUCUCCCCAGCUCGACAAAACGGGCACUGCAUCGGCGACCAUCUAGCUAGCCAGCAGGUGGAAAGGAGAUCCAAGUAUAAAUUUAUCGAUGGGGAUGUCAACCUCGCUUAGUUUAUACGGCCACUCAUACUUGCUCCAACUGUACAUAUAUACUAGUCAGAUGUGAGAGAAGAAGAGGUUGUAUUUUCUACUUCCAUCCACUCUAGGCAAAUUUAUCUGGAAAGCACAUAAGACAACGAAAUGAUGGUGUGAAAAUGUAAAUUAACUUACUCUCCAGACCAGAAAUAUUAGUACUCCAUUGCCAUUGCCAUUUUCGUUAUACAUAGAGAAAAUGAUAACGAUAAUGGAGGCGCUGGAGUUCGAACUCCAGCAUAUGCCCUUGUCACCAUCAUUGUCAAAUGUCAACCUAGCUCAGCGACCACUUUGCAAUCCUAAAACUUGCAGUGUAUUAUAAGGAGAUCGCUAUUAUAUAUGAUUCCUUAUAUAAAUCGUAGCUGGGCCGGGGAGACUCGGCUCGGCUCGGGUCGGGUCGGGUGAAAGCUGACCCAUGUCGUCGCAGCAGCAGUCUGCAUGUCUGCAUCGAUCCUUCGGUGCGUGACUGAUAAUAUUUGUUUAUUCAGUGAUAAGUUUCCUCUUCUUUAGUUUCCUAAACUUCUGAUGUGAUCAUCUCUGCAUGAUAAUGAUUUAAUUAUGAUCCUCUCGGUUUGGUUAUUGUUGUGUAUCACGUGAUAGUGGUGACACACAACAACUCCCAAAUUACCAUCUAGUUAACCCCCAAACUAGGUAGAAAAACCAGGGACUUCGGUUAGUUUCCUGGAAGUCUAAAACUGGAUGAGUACGGUGUGCUUUUUUUAUUGCUAAAUGUAUUUGUUGGAUAUUGUAGGGUAACUGCAAGUUGUCUCCUGUUAUUUUCAGUUUUCUAAUACUGUUAGUCCACUGACAUAUAUAUCAAUAUAUCUGCUUGAAUUGUGUCAACUCUUAAGUACUCAGAAACUUUUAGUUAUGUACGCAAUGCCGAUAUGAGCAUAUAUACUAAACAACUACCACACCGAUAACAAGAUGACAGCACUACACACACCAAGCUAUAUAGAUAGAUUGCUUCAUCUUUGUCUUAUCUUUGCUGAGUCUGAAGUUUCUGAAGUCUGAAACUAGCUUAGAAGAGAUGCAGGACUACUCGCCAUGUGCUUCACUCCACACUCGUUCUCUGCAAUUCGCUUACGUUGGAUCAGAGAGAAUAUUGAAUUAAGCUAGGAUAUUCACAGAUGAAUUAAACGGAUCAAUCAAAUGCAUGUCGGUAUAUGUGGCCACGGAUCGAUCACACGAGGGACGGUUUACUCUGCUCAGCAUCUUGAUUUUAUCUGGAUAUAAAUAACUUAUUGCACCUGUCACAGCUCCUAUCAUUCCGUCUUGCUGAAAGCUACAAGCAGCGAUUGACUCCACCAUGACCUUGAGUUUAAUUUCCUUGUUUUGAUCUAUCCGUUCUUGAUGGUUAUCAGUUCAUAAUUGGGACUUGUCGAUUGAAUAAACUAGGCAGCCUGUAGCCGUCAUCAAUAUAGUUCUCUCGACCUGCUUUUUAUAUGUGCAUGCCGCCAUGCCCAUAGAAUAGACACUUAGCUUGGUGGUAUUCAAUCAGUUCAGCAUGACACGGACUGGCGUCAUUUGGUUAAUUAAGCACUCGGGCUAAAUGAUGAACCGGAAGUUAAACUGUUUACACAUUUUUAUACAUUUUGAUUUGUUUUACUGCCUCGACUUUCAAGUAAUGGGGACUAGGGAGGUAUAUACCUCUUCAAAAAUAGGAGAAAACCUAUGCAAAACAUCACUACUGGACAACUGAACUUUUAUCGUGGUGCCCAAAACACAAAUAUCUCAGUUAGAUUUAGUACUAAAGAUAUUUUAGAGUUGGUUCUAAAAGUACAAGUCUAAAAAUCAUUUUUAGUUCCGGUUGUUGUUACCAACUGGUAGUAAAAUAGUACCGGUUGGUAACCCCAACCGAGACCAAUCUUUAGUUCUGGUUGGUGUUACCAACCGGUACUAAUGAUGCUUUUAGUACCAAUUGGUACUCAAGAUGUCUCUAAGGUUAGUUAAAAAAAGAUCUCCAUCUAAGUUAGACAUGUAGUAGAUAGGAUGGUAACAUGCGUGAGGACUGAGGUUAUCUUUAGUCUCGCUUUACUAGUCUCGGCUGCUACAACCGAGAAUAAAGGGGGGUUUUAAACCGGUAGUAAAGAUGCAUUCUCUAGCAGUGCAUUUGUCAUAGUUGACUUAUAUAUCCUAGUCAAACUAUGUUGUGUAUUAAUUUAUAUGUUACUACGUUUUGUAGGUUAACAAUCACAUUGUUACUUUUAUUUCACAUAAUAAUUUUAUAAUAGUGCAGUGAAGCUUCAAGUAGUUAUAACUUAUAAGCAUAUUAUUGGGAAAUGAGUGGUCAAUGUGUAUAUAAUCUAGUCAACAUUGUCAAGUAUUUAAACACAAAUGUAGUGUUACAUAACUAUCUCUCCCAUAUAUACAAAUGUAUUGUACGGCUGUUUAGAGUGAUAAAAAGAUCUAUAGUAAGUAAACACUUCAAGGAAACUCUCACAUUAAUCAAAAAAAUCCAAACUUUGAUUAGGUGGAUUUUUAUAUCAUGACCGUAAAUCAUAUUGAGAGUUAAUAAACAUAUCUAGGAAAUACCACUAAUAUUCUAUAAAAUGUUUUUAACAAUUUGGAAUGAAUUAAUGUGGAGUUGUUCAUGUAUAUUUGACUCUUAAUUUAGCAUUGUAUAAAUGUAAUUCACAAAUAUAUGAAAUUACUAAUAAGUAGCAAAUUUUAGUCGAUAUGGACUCCUAGUUCAGUCAAAUCUGCUGUAUUUUAGAAAUAAAUUCAGAAUUAAUAACUUGCCUUGGACACUCAGUUUAGCAUUUUGUUAAUUUACAUUUGAAAUUCAAAAUUAAUAAUUAGAUAGCUAAGGUGGACUCUUAUUAUAGUCUAAUUAAACUGUUUUGGUUCCACAAUAACAAUAAUAAUAAUACGUCCAACUAGUGUCUAUUAGUUGGGUUCUUUGUGAAAUUUCCAGCCUUACUCAAAUUUCAUGUUAAAAUUGGGCCAAUAUUUACGACUCAAGCUCAAGAUCUCACAUUUGGGCUCUGAAAGACUGAAACAGGAUUUACACUUUUGGAACGUUUGGAACUUUUUUGCAUGAAAUUAUUUUCAGUUUUAGAAAAAAUUGAUUGAAUUAUAAUAAACUUUGACCACAUUCACAAAAAAAAUAAAAAAAAAUCCGAUUACUUCAUGCAAUACUGUUUUGAUUAAGUUGCAUGUAGCAGCACAGUACUUCACCUAAAAUCUUGAUUAUUACUGAGAAAUUAAAUAUGUAUAAUUCGCUUGUAUACUUCCACAGUACUGCUAUUUCAUUAAGGAUCCAUGUUCUCCAUUGGCUCACUCCUCACUACUUAAGAUUCGUUCUUAAUCGUUCCCCCCUCAUUUUAUGGCUUCUAAAACAAGAGCUUUCAGUAGCUGGAGAGCCAAAGCGCCCAGUGGAGGGGACACUGAUGCUACGCGCUAGGAUAUAUUCAUCAGCAUUGCAAGCAUGCCUGCCCGGAUCUCUUAUGCGUGUGCGCUUAACUAAUUGGCAGUUGCUAUCAAGCUCCAGGCAGAUCAGAUCAGUUGCAUCCAUAUGCAUGCAUGAAAGGCCGGCGCCGUCGCAUCAACUGUGGAUGAGGGAAAUGCUGGGGCCGACGCGCGCCGGGCGCGGCAUACGAUUCCGGCGAGCGCGAUGUGUGUCCGGCCGGCCAGCGCCCGGACUUAAAAGCGCAAGCGCGCGUCGUGGUGGGCGCGCGCCCGCCGCCCGGUUACGUCGGUACGUCGAUCGAUCGGUCGUGAAAGAAGAAGAGAUGUACAGAUUCGGCGUGCACCCACCACCACCGCGGCGAUCUAGCGAGAGAAGGACGGAAGUGAGAGCGAGCGAGCGAGAGAGGGAGAGGGGAUCGGAAUACCAGCGGCUAGGUAGCACCGGCCAAGCGACUCACUCGCUUCAAGUGCCGGGGAAUCGGUGGAAAGGGAUAAAUUAAAGCGUCGGGGUUCGUUCUCCUGCAUGCUGUGCGCACUCUUACGACGACGUUGGGUGUUCCUAUGCCAUGCAUGCGAGAUUUUGCCCGAUAAGAGCAAGUUUUAUAAUAGAGCCAACAAUGAGCUUAUAGCUUAUUUUAGAGUUAACAUGUAUAGUAAAUGGGCUAUAAGGUUACCUCUUUUUUUUCUCCUCCUCUCUCUAUCUCUCACCUAUGUAUUUAAUGUAUCUAUCUUGAAAUAUGUGAAGCUAGCUCUUGCAUGGGAGCCAACCCUCUCAAUUUUUCAAAUUCUCUUUACUCCACAUAAACUUAUAAACUUAUAGUUGGCUUAUAGCCUACUAUUAUACUUGCUCUAACUAGCUGGCUGUGCAAUGCAUGCAUGCCUUUUGGUAAUUCGGUCAAACUCCCAUAUAUUUUAUUUAGGUAGUCUUUCGUUCUAAAAUAUAACAAUCUAAUAUGGAUGAGAUUCCUAUCUAGAUUUUGUACUACUAAAAUAUGUCUUAUUUAUAUUAGGUUGCUAUAUUUUAAAAUGGAGAAAGUAGCUGGGAAAAUGUUUGUGAAGUUUUUAAUUAGCUCCUGAUCAAACAUGUUGUUUGUUCUUACAUUGUGCCUCAGCGAGGCAUAAUGCGCCUCGAUACUAACUAAUGACAAUAUGACAUCAAGAAUACAUGCGUGCUGACUGCUGUGCUGUUGUUUGCUAUAGCUAGGAGUGCUCCUUUUUUUUAGGGGGGAGCCCAUUGAUGCACCACUGCAUGAUGAUUCUUCCAUUUAGAUAGAAAGUUGACGUAGACAUGGAAUGAACAUCACCUAUAUGGUGGAUUAAGAGAGAAGCCAAUUUAAUUUAGGCUGUGCUUAGGAUUCAGAGGUGUAAAGUUUUGGCAUGUCACGUCGGAUAUACGGAUACACAUUUAAAAUAUUAAACGUAGUCUAAUAACAAAACAAAUUACAGAAUCUGUUUGUAAACCGCAAGAUAAAUUUAUUAAGCCUAAUUAAUCCGUCAUUAGCAAAUGUUUACUGUAGCACAACAUUAUCAAAUCAUGCCACAAUUAGGCUUAAAAAAUUCGUCUCACAAUUUACACACAAUCUAUGUAAUUAGUUAUUUUUUUCAUCUAUAUUUAAUACUCCAUGCAUAUGUCCCAACAUUCCAUAUGACAGUGUGUAAAAUUUUACCAGGUGAUCUAAACAGGGCCUUAGUGUAAACUUCUUCCUAUCUAUUCAAAACUUCAAUGCUUCUGUCUUACAUACUAGCUAGCUUAAUGCAUGUGCUCUACAACAAGAAUUAAAAAAGAGAACCCCACAGUACACUUUAAAGCCUUAAUUUUUUUAAAAAGAAAUCCCAUUGUAAAUCUUUAGGUCAUAUUUAUUAUCAUUUUGUAUUGUUGCUUUAAAAUAAAAUUUUCUUCUUUGAUAUCUUGGGGGUUGGAAAAGGGACGAAAAUCCACCUACCUCACUAUUUGUGGACCGACAUGGUAGUGGUGGUGGGUGGUGGUAGAUUUAUCACUAACCACUAUAGUUAGGGUCCUUGCACUAGUUUUCAAAUUAUUUGCAUUAGGACUUUAAGUAAUAGUUAUAUGUUACCUUAACUAUUAGUAUUGCUAUAAAAACUAUUUUGCCAAUUUUGUUGCAGAAGUGCAGAUGGUAAGUUCUCCUAAAAAGUUAAUUUAACUAUUUCUAAGAAUUAGUUGGAGCUGCCACUAUCAAAGAAGGGUUAUCCAUGUUGGCCCAUCACCGCGGGUUUGGCAUGAUCCUAUAGCGGUUCACUUUAGUUUUCUACUUAAACCAAAGUUACCUACAGUGAUACUUGGUAUUCAAUUCCAAGGAAUACUAGAUUUUACUCUCAAGUGAUUUACCUAAUUUUUUUGGAUAUUAGUGUUUAAAAAACCUAGAUGGUAGAACAUAUUGAAUAUGCUUUUUACAUUAUUUGGGAUCACACACAUUAAAAGAAACCUAUACUUUCUUGUGCAACAAAAAGAAACAUCUAGUUAAUUUUAUAUCACAAGUACUCUAACAAUACUUCUACUUCAUGUGAUUAUAUGUUUGAGCGAUUUGUUAUGACUUCCAAAUAGCUGGUAUAAAAUCCACUAUUUAGGUUAGUUCAAAUGACAUAGGCAGAUAGAUAUCGGUUACUUCUUAAAGGUUUUGUUCUAAAGAGGGUGUCAUAUACAUUGUAUUUUUUUCUUAGGUUUUUGGAGAACUAGAAACCGCAAGGUGAUAGCGAUGUUAAAUGACAAAAUGUAUUUAAUUGUUUAUGGAAUAGCAAUUGUUAAAAAUAGUUGGUGCUCUUGUAUCGACGGGUUAUACCUGACCACGGUAUUUGAGGGACGUACGAUAUGACUAAUAGCAAGGUUUAAGCGAGUAUGGAAUAAGAGAACGGGGGACAAGGACUUUUAUACUAGUUCAUGACCCUGAGACGGGUAGUAGCCCUAUUCCAUUAUAUGCAUUGAUCUGGGUGUAUCACACUGAGUACAAAGGGAGAGUAAUUAAGUUAGCUAAUCUAGCCUAUUAAACUAGUCUCGAUAGGUGUAGCAUGGUGUAUGGCUUAUGAUAUACCCUCUCCUCCUUGGAGGCCAUGUAUUUAUAUUGAAAUAUGACCCCUUAUCUAAAUAGAACUUGGGUAUCCCAAGUAGAUAUGGGCAGGCAUGACCCUAGUCCCCCCUACUACCACCACCACCACCAUUUUGUAUAAUAAUAGGUAUGUGGUAUUCUCGCAAUGAUAGUAAGUGCAGGUAUAUGUGUGUGCAAUAUCUAUGACACUAACAUCUUCUUUGUGAAAUUGAUAUAGCAAGCCUAAUUAUAGAGCAUAAGCAAUGAGAUGCACCUAGAUUUUUCAAUGGGAUGGAUACCCAUUAUGUGAGUGUGGCUACACAACUAGCAAAAACCAGCGGAAACAACCAGAAGAAGUACGUGAUGAUAACAUAUUCGUUUGAAGUGGAUAGAUACUUCGGGCACCAUUGGCAUCAACAAAAAAGGAGAGUUGGUACUAUCUUUGGGCAAAUGGGUUGGUGCUUUCUAUGCGCAAAUUUUGUACUUUGGUGUGGUGGUUAGAUAUCAAUGCCAAGAUAAAAAAAAUCUAUGUAUAUGAAAACCAAAUUAGCACUGCCAGAACAGUCUAAUUCAUCAUUUUGAAACAAAAAUUUCUCUAAAAAAUAAUCUAGUUCACUUAUUUCCGUAAAAAUGGACAAAAAUAUUCCUAUGCUCCAAGUAGGGCCUCAAAGAUACCCCCUUUAUUUUGGAUAAAAGCCUUGAUGCUCAAAUAGAAGACACAUCAUGGAUGCCAACUUUAGCUUGAAUAUUGUAAUACUGAAGCCACAAACAUGUAUUUCAUCGCAUAAAUUUUCUAGAAAAAGUGUGGUGUGUUUUCAUCUAGUUUGAUGGAUAAAUUUCAAAAGCUAACAUAGCAAUGUGAGUACAUGUGUGCACCAAUCAGUUAUAAAGGCUCCUCAACUGAGCACAAAUUAAAUUUAUGGCUUCUAAAAAAACUUUUAUUACACUUCCAAAUUUGCUAUGAUACUUGCAUUACCCCUUGUUCCGAUGUGUAUUCCAUGAAAAAAUCAAUAAAAUUGUGUUCAUUCGAGCCCUCAUUUUUAAUCUUUGUUGCUUAUGUUUCACAAUAUUUGUCUACUUACACAGAGCUUAUGUUUCACAAUAUUUGUCUACUUACACAGAAUGUGCAUAUCAUAAUAUGUUCCAUGUAGUAAGUUGGGGGUAAAGUUACCGUAACAUUAUCAUAUUUGGACCCUUAUUUGUGGUGGCAAAAGAUGAAUAUACACUUUGCAUUUGUUGUAGCUAGUUUGUCUUGGUAAGUUUGUUGAUUGGGCAUAGACAAAUAUUAUAUAUGAUAAGAAGGAAGUAGUAGGGUUUAUGAGCAAAUUGCAAAGAAGUGUAUGUGUCUUCAAGCUUUUCACCUUUCGCUUUCUAUUUUUCCCUUUGCAUAAUUGUAUUUGAUUGACCCACCUUGUAUGCUUCACUCUAGCUUUGAUUCUCUAGUUCUCUUUCAUUUGUGUGUUUUACCCUAUUUGGUUGAAGUCAACUGUACUAGCUAGUGAGCAUAUUGUGUAUGUAUUCUAUUAUUCCCCAAAUUGCAAGAAAUGCUUGUGAGAUGACUAAAAGUUAUAAUGGGCUACAAAUGCAUGCACGACGAGGUAUCCUUUCCCUCUUUAAAUAUAUUCUAGAAAAAACUUGCUCCCAAUGUGCAUCAAACCCCUCAAUGUUCCCCGCAUAUAGGCUGAUACUUUUCUAGCAAGUGUAUGUACUAUUGUCCUAUAAAAGUAGUUGCACUUUGGGAGCAUGCCAAUCAUCUUGUGGCGAAGUGGGUUUUCAGACCUCUUAAGCAAAUCUAGGUUCGUGUCAUAAGUAAAACUCAGUAUCCAUAUUUUCUUUAAUAAAUAUCAUAAUUUCUUUUGAAAAGGUGGCACACUUUGAUAGCCCUGAUCCAAUAGCCUUAGGACAUGUCUAAUGAUAAGCUAAUGUUAUAUAUAAGAACUACAUGUAUAUAAUCAAGAGAGUAACUAAUUAAAAACAACUCAUAUAGUAGAUAUUAUAUAUAUAUAUAUAUAUAUAUAUAUAUAUAUAUAUAGUUGUCUCUUGAACACACACACUACCCUCUCUCCCCCCACCAUUCUCUCUCUCUCUAUCUCUCUCUCUCUGUGUCCCUAAGAGAGCAUGCGUAGAGUUGGUUCUUGUAUGACGAUUAUUCUCACAUUCUUUUUUCAAUUCUCAUCUUCCCUACGUAUGAAAAUUUACGACCCACAAACUUACAGCCAACUACUAUUAGACGGUUCCUUAGAAAUAAGGACAUUCAUACAGCCAAAAAGUUUCUUUUAGUCCCAACAUUGACAAAGUUUUUAUUAUGAUUAAUCUAUUAGAAUAUAUACUCAACUGUACUUAUGUUCAUCUUACGGCAAUAGACGGGGAACCUUGUUGUAGGUACCAUAUGCCAUGUGUUGAAAUCCCUCCAAUUAUUCAGCCAUCAAUACAACCCCCUCCAAAGUUGAAAGGAUAUAAUUGAAUAUUUCAGAGUUAAUAUGAUUGAGGGUCUUUUAAUUAAAGUCUAUGGGCUAUUAUAUGUUGAAUUAAAAUAGAGGGCAACUAAAUCAUGUGUGAUAUUAUAUUAAUUAGAAACAAGAAAGAAUUACAAGCUGUGAAUCUUUUUUUCCUAUAUUGUUUUAUGUAGUUGUCAAUCUACUAAUCUCAAAGCUGGCCGUUCAGCCAGCAUUUGAUUGGUCCAAAGGGCCAUAUAACUUAACGACACGAGCAACAUGAUAAAAUGAUGUGUUCUGUGUAGCGAUCCAAUGCAUUGCCGAGUAAGUACGUAGAUAAGUAGUCAUGCCCUUCUGGAUCUCUCGCGUAUGCGUGCCUUGGCCAAUACACCCACUCGACCAGACCCAGUCACCACACAAGCACGCAGCCCCCUCUGGACGGUUAAGGGCAAUAACUACAAGUCUCUAUACGUUGUCCCUAAAUUUACCACAUAGGAUUAGGUGAUAAGGUGAAGAAGAGAAUUUAAGAGAGAGAAUGAACUAACUCUCAUGUAAGAGGCAACCUCCACACAAUCCCCAAGAAAAAUGCAAGAUGAUGUGAGAGUAAACUAAUAUUUGAGUUUGUGUAUUAGAUGUGGUAUGUUGUAUGUGUUGCCUCUUAAUUAAUGAGAAGAUGACAUGGCUUAAAUUUGAUGUGGCAUUCACCUCCAUUAUAAAACUUGCCCUAAUUAGCCACACUAAUUAACCAAUGGUUGGCAGUGAAUACAUUAAUUAGAUGGAGCACAUGGAUGUGUUGUGACUGUGAGCUGAACCAGUUGCAUCCAUACAACUAUGAGGAGUUGGAAUGCAGUGCAAAAUCUAUGCGGCAAUCUUAAACUUACAAGAAGGAUUGGAUUCAUAUUAUUUUUCCAGUUAUUACUGAUAUAGUGUACUACGAAAGAUAUUAAUGAUCAGAACUCAGGCUGUGUUUAGAUCCAAAGUUUAGAUCCAAACUUCAGUCCUUUUCCAUCACAUCAGCUUGUCAUACACACACAACUUUUUAGUCACAUCAUCUCCAAUUUCAACCAAAAUCCAAACUUUACGCUGAACUAAACACAGCUUCAGGAUGAAUAUCAUUUUAUACUCUGAUACCCCAUCCGUCUUAAAAUGGAAAUAAUAUAUUUAAGUAACAAACAAUAAAACUUAGUGUAUAAAAAGAGUAGCAAGUAUUAAAAAAUAAAAAUGAAAUAUAUAUAUUUUUCUAUCCACAAAUUUUAUUAUUUUAAAGGAAAUUUAAUGUACAAAAGAGUAGCAAGUAUUAAAAACAAUUAAGAAUGAAAAAUGGAAAAAAAUAGUUUUUGCUAAUUCACAAACUUUACUAUUUUUAAAGAAAAGGCAGUGAAAAAUAUUUCUAAGUGACUAUGUUAAAAUUCAAAAAUAGGUAACCUAACCAUGUUGAUAUCCCAUAUCUAUAAAAAAAACUGAAACAAUAAAUAGCAACUAUAAGCAUAACAAAAAACAUUUCUCAUCAUUUUACAAAUUAUAAAAGCUUUUAUUCAAUACCCUUAAAUUUACUAAAGCAAGAUAGAAUAUUUAUAAAAUACACUUUUAUAUCCUUAUAAUACAAUCUUCACCGGUUUGUUAGUAGCAUGCAUUACUACCAUGUUUUGGUAUUCUUUUUCUCAAUAGUCUACAAGUACAGAACUGAAAAAAAAGAAUAGUGUUUAUCGACAUUUAUGAGUAUUGAACCAAUUGCUAUAAGAAAAUCUCGCACUGAUAAAUAAGAUUUAAAUAGUAUUCACAUGCUCCAUUAUAAAAAAAUAUACAUGGGUUAAAUUACCAAGCGUGCCAAUAGGCGCUCCAAUUUUCUAGUAUAUAUAAUAAAUAGAAAUAAGUGUGAAUAUUUGCGGCACACCACUAUAUACAUAGCAUGCGUUAGUCAUCCUGUAAAAAAUAUUUUUUUUGUUUUAAGCAAUACUUUAUGGGCCAGCCGGCCAGGUAUAAUAUGUAUCACUUUCAUCAAAUUUAUCAACUUUAUAUGCACUUCAUAUGAAAGUGGUAACUUUUCUGGAAUUAUUUCAAGUUAUUGCUGUUUUAUAAAAAUAACUUUAUUCCUUGGCACAAUCCCAAAUCAUUGACACUUCAUUCACAACCACUCUAAUAUUUUGCAAGACUAAGGUUGUGAUGGUAAUAUUGUUUUGCCUAGGCUUAACGGACGCACGUAAAAUGAAACAUACCAUUAGCUUAUGAUUAUUUAAGUAUUAACCAUAAUAACAUUUAGAACAAAUUUAUUUGAUUUUUCCAAAAUAAAAAACAUAUUUAUAGAAAUCUUUUGCAAGAAACAGAUCGUUUAGCAGUUUAAAAGGUCUGCUCGCGAUAAGUCACUAGCCAGUAACUGAAAAUAACUAAGCCUAAGAGUGAGGACCUAUUUGUUUUGGUAAAAUGUGGCUAGACAUCACUAAAGCGUGUCGUCACUGUCGACAAAUGUAGCAAUGUUUGGGUUAGAAAUGUGCCUAUGCCAUCUUGACCAACGAGUUAGUAUAGUAUGUGGCUUGUGACAAUCAUAAUAACGAACCAAAUACUGGCUUGCCAAGUAUGUGGUUAACAACGUGUAACAUAGUACCAAUCAUUUAGGGUGGCAAGACGUGGCAACAAACCAAACAAGCCAUCCAGCUCCAGGUGAGUUAUUCUGCUCUUGCCUCAAGCCCACAAUCCAAGUUCGCACUUGAUCUUUGAUCUUUGGAAAGGCCAUCAUCGGGAGACUGGACAUGAUCCAACCUCUCGCUUUUUCUCUUCCCGCUACAGCCACCAGGGCAAGCAGCACCGCCCCUGUCCAGGCUGAUUUCGCAUGGGUUGCUGAUGAUGGUCCUCGACCUAUCAUCCGGCUGGGAUUAUUACAUGAUUAUUAAGUAAUAGCUAAUUUUUUUUAAAAAAUAGAUUAAUUUGAUUUUUUAAGCAACUUUCGUACAGAAAUCUUUUUAUAAAAAACGUAUCGUUUAACAGUUUAAAAGGCGUACGUGCGGAAAACGAGGAAGAGGGGUUGGGAACUCAAAGGAAAGACACAGCCGGGUUGGGAACUUGUUGCUGUCACCCUACUCCCUGAUGAAUCCUCUUGUCCAGGUUUUUGCAUGGAGUAGGAAGUAGGAACUAUCAUAUCAACCUAGCCUACUAGUUUCUCAGGCAUCAGUAGCCCAGUAGUGGAUGCACGAACGAAUUUUACCUGUUGGGGGUGAGAAGCUAGAACCGGGCAGGGGGGGGAAGGAAGGACCAGCAACAAGUGGACGGAUGAUAUGGAGGCUGAUGGAACCGAUCGUCCGGAGGCAACUUGCAAGCAAUGCUACAUUUGCUCCCGCAGUUGCGUUGCACGACGUACUACAUAUGUAACCAGAAAAAUGCCACGACGAUGCAGAUCGAUAUAUAGUCAGGCAGCAUUAGCGUGGUCGAGUCCCCAACGCUCGGCAUUGCCUCAUCAGUUAAUCCGCACUCGCCUUUUUGUUAGCGGGACACGCAUGCGCUGUGUGUGUGUGUGCUCCCUUCGAUCGGGCACGAGCUGUGUGCGGUGGCAUGGGCGCAUGGCAGCGACUGGUCGAAACGCGGCCGCACGACGGACACGCCGCUCGAUCCCCCGCGCGGCUGCCGUGCUCCCCCUCUCGUCUGGAUCACCGGCGGCGUGGGCGGCUCUCUUCCACGAGGCAUGAGCUCGGUUUUUUUUUUCCCUCUGCUCGCGACGGAGAGGGAAAAGGCUGCUGCUUCUUAUUCUUAUUCCCUGGAGCGAUCAGCUUUUUCUCCGCCCCCCGGAGGUGAAAACAAAGCAACGAAUGGAACCAUGGAAACGAAGUGAAGGAGCGUGCCUUCGCAAUCAUGGCCUGAGGCCCUGAGCGGCUGAGCCCCUGAGGCCUCCUGAGUAUAUAUAAACCAAGCAUGGUUUGCCUCCUGCAUUGCCCGUGUGAAUGCCAAUGAUACAGAGCCCCCCAAGAGCAGAGCAAGCGCGAGAACACACACCAACAACGCAACAAACCACCAGGCGUGCGCGUGCAAGCGCAAGGCUUGAAACGGAGAGACACGAAAAGCGCCAAGGUGUUCGCCCAUCAUUAUAAUCAGCUUAUAAGGGCGCGAGCGAAACCGCACAGUUGUACACUUGGACUCGCAAACUAGACUCUCCGUCUCCUUGCGCUGCGCGUUAUAUCGGCUCUGCCUAUAUAAGUGUGCUGAGGCGACUGGGGCUCGGUGAGUGUUUUGGGUGGGCCGGCUUUAUGAGCAGUCUCGGUUUGAAGAUCCGCACCGUCGUCCGCUCACCUAUGGCGGCCGCGGCCGUCGCUGGCGUCGGAAGGGAUGGUAGCUUCGCCUCCCAGAAGCGGCCACGUCGGGUUAGUGUGAGAAUGGAGAGAAGCAGAGUCGGGGACGGUUGCUGCUGCUCCUGCUCUGGCCGCGGCGGGGUGGCGUCCACUACGGCGGUCCGGCCGUCCACGGGGAUGGUGGUGAUCGUCGGCGCCACGGGCACGGGGAAGACCAAGCUUUCCAUCGACGCGGCGCAGGAGCUCGCCGGCGAGGUGGUGAACGCUGACAAGAUUCAGCUGUACGACGGCCUCGACGUCACCACGAACAAGGUGUCGCUCGCCGACCGCCGGGGCGUCCCGCACCACCUCCUCGGCGCAAUCCGCGCCGAGGCCGGGGAGCUGCCGCCGUCGUCGUUCCGCUCGCUCGCCGCCGCCGCCGCGGCCGGCAUCGCGUCGCGCGGGCGCGUGCCGGUCGUGGCCGGCGGGUCCAACUCGCUCAUCCACGCGCUCCUCGCUGACCCCAUCGAUGCCGCGCCGCGUGACCCUUUCGCGGACGCCGAUGUCGGGUACCGGCCGGCGCUCCGGUUCCCGUGCUGCCUCCUCUGGGUCGACGUCGACGACGAUGUUCUCGACGAAUACCUCGACCGGCGCGUGGACGACAUGGUCGGCGAGGGGAUGGUCGAGGAGCUCGAGGAAUACUUCGCGACGACGUCGGCCUCGGAGCGGGCCUCGCACGCCGGGCUGGGCAAGGCCAUCGGCGUGCCGGAGCUCGGCGACUACUUCGCCGGGCGCAAGAGCCUCGACGCGGCGAUAGACGAGAUCAAGGCCAACACGCGGGUCCUCGCGGCCCGCCAGGUCGGCAAGAUCCGACGCAUGGCCGACGUUUGGGGCUGGCCCAUCCGCCGCCUCGACGCCACGGCCACCAUCCGGGCGCGGCUCUCCGGCGCCGGCCGCGCCGCCGAGGCCGCCGCGUGGGAGCGCGACGUGCGCGGGCCAGGCCUCGCCGCGAUGCGUCAGUUCGUCGGCCGCGCCGACUUCAACGCCGCAGCGGUCGACCAGCUAGCCGCGCGGAGUCGGAGGCAAUGCCUUCGCGGUGGCAUGGUGGCCGGCUGAGCCCGAGCGGAGGAAAAAAAAAAAAGCUUGCGUGCUUUUGGGUUCAAAAUUUUUCGAUAGGCCGCCGAUUUUGGCGGGCCCGAUGGCUCAUCUGACACAGGUCGGUGGGGCCACAGGACAUGCUACAGCGAAAGACAGAGCACAAUACAGAGCAAGCAGGAACAAGAAAUAGAGAGAAAAGGCAGAGAGCUGUGAAGUUUUGCAGAGAGGACUGUGAAUUCCUUCUCCCUGGCCUGGAGGCUGCUUAAUCUUCUUUUGGAUUCAUCAACCUUUUUCCUAGCUAGCCACCAUUGUAUACAGUGUAAUCUACUGCUCCCCCUUGUUCAAAUUUUGAAAUAGUUUUACAUUUUCAACCUGACCUUGAGGAGGAUAUUACAGGAUUCAUCACCAUGCACCAGAUGCACUUGGUUUUCUGCUCGGCCUUUUUCGUUUUUGUCUCCAUGUGUAAUCGGGGCAUGCUUUGCAUCUCUGAACCCUGUGCUUUUGACCAUUGCGUUGGUUAUCUGUUGAUCGCUUGGAACUCGAUUCUUUAAUUCGAUCUGCAGAGUAGUCUAGUUGCAUGCACUGGGUUUAGUUGCUUCCCUUGUUGACAUGUAGUGGUGGAUUCUCUGAAACAUUCCAGCUGGUAGCGUGCACUGGAGCCGCUGAUUAAGUGCGUAAUCUCAUGCUUGGUGUGUGAUUAAGGGGAGGGGUUUGUGCUGGCCGCGUGAGUUGGUGUCUUUGUACUCUUGUUGUGCCAGCUACCAAGGCAGUUCGAGCCUAGACGUGUGAUGCAUUCUCAUACUCCUGUUUUCCUCUUCAUUCUCUCUUUCUCUCACAUUCCUUCAGUGUGACUGUUCGAUUCGCACGCACCGACAUCGCCGGGUUCUUUUUUUCCAUUGCCGUGGUAUGUUAGAGCAAGUUUAAUAGUAUAGUCAAUGGCUGACUCCAAAUCAUUUAUAGUUAGCUUAAUAGCUAAUUCAUACAAUAGUUAUCUAUAAACAUAUACUACACAAUUAAUAUCUGGUCCCACCUAUCAUACACACAUGUAUUUUAUAGUCCGUGCUAUAACUGGCUAUAAAUUUAUAGCUCGUUACUCUUCUCUCUUCUCUUUUAUCUUUUUGAAAUGUGUCUAUGGCUGGUUUAUAGUCUAUACCUGCUCUUAGCUACUGACGAUCCUCUCCUGCAUGAGUAUUUUUGUCUCCUUUUUACACUCACCAAGACACCAACCGUUACACGACUGGUGAGUCGGCUGGGUUUGACGGCCCUGGGUGACGUGGCUGCGUGUGAUGUCGUUAUUCUAUUCUGCAGCCACAACCUGGCUGUGGGUUGGAGAUGUUGAGCGAGAAGAAGGCAGAGACUGGCAUCCUCUGAGACUUGUUGAUGAUGUCGCUCGCCUGCGCUCGAUUAGGAUGUGGCACCAUACUGCUAGCUAGUACUGGAGUAUUAUUCUCUGGAGUAGCCAAGCUGUUUCUCUCAUGCGUGUUUACUUAAUGCAAACAACUAACCCCCUGCGUGCUGCAAAUAUAAUACUGCUGCUACUACUAACACUGCGUGACUUUCAGAUGCCUCCUGCCUCAGCAGGAAUUCACAUCAGAACAGAAGCCGGCCGCCACCAUUGCCAUCCCGAACAAACUCCUCGAAACCAAAGCUCCUUUCGGACGAACCGAUGACAAGUACUACUAUAGAAGCUAUACUACCCAUCCUACAAUAUUCCUACACCGUGCGUGCAUUUGCAUGCACGAGUGUUGACCUGAACAGUUGAAGGCGUGGCACGCAAAAGGAUGCAGAGACAACGAGGCCCUGAUGAUGGCUGCUGGCUCUCGCCAUCGCUGGGCCGCCUGGGCGCCGGCCGCUGCUGCGUGCGUCGCGUGCGCGCGGCGACGAGCUGCGCCUGCACCUGCACUAGCUGCCGCACGCGCGGCCCCCUCCGGUGACGAGGAGCUGCGCCUGCAUCUGCAUGCAUGCACUUGCUCCCGCCUCUCGCCCAACCCGCCUUGCCGCCUUGGUAGUUGUUGCGGUUGCUGGUCUCUAGGGCCCUUGAGACGGCAAAGGCCAUCAUUGACGUUGCCUUGUUUUUGGCGCUCGAGGGGGGUGAGGCUUCUCCUUCUCCAGCUGCGCGUGUCUGUGCAUGUACUAGGCCACGGCCAGCAUCGUAACAAUAUACAAGUACUCCACUGUACUGGCCUCUGUUUCGCUUGUCCUCCCAGGGCUCAACCAUGGCGCCCAGGCGCUGUCUAACUGUCGCUAAUCCUCUUGCUUUGCAGCCCGUUUACUAGUAAUUAAGUGCAGCCACUCCUUGCCAAAACCCAGCUCCUUCUCGUUGCCUUCUUAGGAUCACGUCUUUCUGGCUAGAUUCGAGCUAAAUUGGCCCCUUCUUUCGUCGUCUGUCUUGAUCACGUAUGUGCAUCGUGUUUUAUUCAGAGUCAAACCGAGACCACAAAGCGUUGGGUUUGCUCCUAAUCUUUUAAUUUGGCCUGUUCUUGCUCAUGCCAACACAUUCCUCCAGUUUUGUUUUCAUGUACUCUAAACAAGUCUACUCAACGUCUCGACAUGCUGGUUAUGCUGUACGAAAAGGUGUGCUUAGAACAUGAUCAACUGAUUCUCUCCUCCCCAUGGCUGCACUAGAUUUAUUUCCACUUGGGCUCGUGUGCUGCACUGAGCUGAGGUGCAUGAACGCAGCGAAUCGAAGCAAGCAGGGUAACGAUUUUAAAUCUCGCGCCUGUUCUCCUGGGCAGACCCUGCAGCCAUGCCUCCUCUCGGCUGCGCCCCCAAAAGCCUCCCCAGAUCCAUUUCUGCUGGACAGGAAUUUAGCCUUUGCUUCCGUGUGUUGUGUACGCAUUAGGACAGGGUAGAUGAUUAACUGCUCCACUUGCUUGCAUGGUCAGUGCCUAGAUGCUUCUCCUCAAAAAGAUCCAAUGAUGUGUUUUGUGCCCUCUUUCUCGCUUAAACAAGUAUGAUCCAGCCUGGUCUUUCACUAUAUAGAUAUAGUCGGCCUCAGAAAACUCCUCAAUACUCUUCUCAGAAAACAGAUCGUCUAACUGAUACUGAUACAUUCGGUUCUUUGUCUAUUAAGUUAUUCCAUCCAACCUCGUGUCAUAGGCUGACUAUUCGUCAGAUUCAGACACUUCUUUAUGCCUUGAGUAAAGAUCUAUAGCCACUGAUCUCAUCACUCCUCCCAUUUCCUAUAUAGAAAAUGUCAUUUUCUUAGUUAGAAGGUCAAACAACGAAUUGUUCUGACCUACAGGCAUAGUUUAAGUUUGGUAAACGAUUACAAAAUACAACGAAUUAGUCCAACCAUACCCCCCCCCCCCCAAAAAAAAAGAAGUAAAGUUUUCAUGUACAGAAACAAAAUUGCACAUUACGCCGUUUGGGCUUAGCAAUGUGCGAGGGGCUACAAGUUUUUUUUUCGGGAAUACGCUAGGAGCAUAUUUUUGUAUUAAGAGGAAUAAAAGCUAUUUACAAGUCAAAUACUAGAUUAAAGGGGACGGGGUACCAGAGUGCAACAGGACUUAUGCUACAAUCUCACAACCGAUUAGGAUGGCCUAGGGACUCUUCAAACUAGAGACCAAGCGCCGGUACGGCCGCCUUUGCCAGACGCCAUAGCUCUGCCUCAGCGUAUUUAAAUGUUAGCAAAGCAAACACAUAAAAAAAAAACUUAGACCAUAAUAUUACUAUGCGCCAGACCACACCAGUAUUUAAAUAUUUGGUUGGAUAUGCAUUUUUUUGGGCUACAAACAAAGAAACAACCCACAAUGUAUAUAUGCUAGCAAACGUACAGUAGUAUAUCUGCAGGGACAUCUCUGUCCUAACUGAAACACGGUUUGUACUCUAAUAAAAAAGUUUGGUUAUACUCUCCAAGGGUACAGUUUAGAGAAACUGAACAUUUCUGAACUCCCAUCCACACGACGGUCGGUGCCCAAUCUAGUCACUGAUCCCUGAAAUCGACGGACGCAGCAGACACCCCGACGACACGGCGACGCCAAUUGCCUGCAGAAGCUCGACACGCGCAGAGGAGACGACACAACGCGCGGUGCACACUUUACCGUCCUUGGCGCAUCUAAAGUCGUUAGCCUCGUCCGCGCAGUGCGUCACUUACUCACUUUUGGGUUUCGCCGGUCACGCAUUGCUGCCGCCUGCAACCGCAAGCGUUCGCAAGGCGUGCUACGCCGCCGACACGCGCGCGAACAUCUCUACGUCGUCCCUAACCGGCAGGUUUCGCUCGCGCGUCCUGCGUCCUGCCGACCAUCACGUCCACAUCCACGGUCAUGCUCCUUGCUAGUAUUUCUUACCUUCCAAGUCCAGUAAAACCGCGAACAUUUUCCUAGCGAUGUGACUGGAACAGGAGCGAAGCAAUGGUAGCAAACUGGCAUCGGUGGUUGGGCGUUGGACUUGGUGCAGCCAUGACGAACACGACGGCGGCGAGGAGAAGGCCGGGAGGGGCGCGCUCUCUGGCGUGAUUGCAACCGCUUGAUGGGGUAAAAAAAAAAAGUCGUUUUUCUUGAUCCCGGUCUUACGAAACCGGGACCGCUGCCGCUAAGCUCAACACUUUUCUGUCAUUCAUUCACUCUUCCGGGCUCAGCCGACCUCUUAUGUCGCUUUGAAUUGUGUGAUCCAUGUGGUGUUCACAGUUAACUGAAGAUUGAGAUAUUUUACAGAUUUUAGAGAUACCGAAAGAUAUCAAAAUUGUGUAAAUUUUCAUAUGACCUGGUAUCGGAGGUAUCAAGAUAUGCCAAAUUUUACGCUACAAUAAAAUAUGAUACCUCCUAGUACUUAUAAAAAACUGUAAAAUCACUCCUGAAGAUUAGUUUCUCUAAUCCCCGGUAACGCUACAAACCGAUACCCCCAUAAUCUUCAGGCUCUAUGUACAUUUAGCAGAUUAGCUCUGACCUAAAUUGUAUCAAGUAGAUGAUACUCGUUGAUUUUGGGAGCUGGGUUCGAAAUGUUUUCACCUUGCAAGAAUUUUUCGUGAUCGUAUUUGUUUCCGUCGUUCAUAUUUCGAUUACUCCUGCGUGCAUAAAUACUUGACGAUUAGGAGAAAAUUCGGUCUAAUUUUUAAUACUUUGACCAUCAAUUUAGAUUGGAAUAAGUUAAUAAAAUAUACUCCAUCCAUUCUAAAAUAUAAGCAUUUUUGAACCCUUACACGGUCUCCGAGAUGUUAAUUUGACCAACCGUAUCUAUAAAGGUAAGAUGUUUUAAAUAAAAAGAGUUGCAUGUUAUGAUAUUUUGUUUAAUGAUAAAUUUAGUGCAUCAAUUUUAUAUGAUUGAUGUUUUUUUUAUUUUUUUCUAUUAAUAGUCAAAGUUAAGAAUGUUUGACUUGUCACUAUGCUAAAAAUGUUUAUAUUUUGAGACGUAGGGAGUAAUAAAUUUAUGACAUUAAUACUUUUCAAUUCCAAUUUACGCAUACUUUUUUUUAAAAAAAAAGAAAAUAGACAUACGAGAUAUUAUUUAUAGUCACAAUUUUAAAAGUUUGAUAAAAUAAUAUCGUCAACAUCAAAUAUUUGUGACCAAGGGAAGUUUUUUUUUCAUUAUGAAAUCAAUAUUGUCUCUACAUAAAAAAACACGAAAACAAAUACCCAAUCUAUAAUUUUUAAUGGAUGACACCAUUGACAUUUAACGUAUGUUUGACUAUUCAUCUUGUCAAAAGUUUAUGUAAAUAUAUAAAAAUAGAAAAGUCAUGUUUAAAGUAGCUUCAAUCAUAUACAGUCACACAUACUAUUAAAUAAUUGAAGCUAUAGUUAUAGUCGUGGCUGCUUCAUCCGUUUUAAAAUAUACUAUCCUAAGAUUAGAUUAAACACAUAUUAUGAAUCUGAACGCAUGUUCUAUUUCUAUAUUUAGAACAGAAAUAGUACUUAUUUGUGCUGGAAGCAAAAGAUUGACGACAAACUUGCGAUCAAAUGAACCCAGACAGAUUGACGAUUCGAUUUCCAUUUUUCGCGAGAGACCAAUAAAUUUUCAAGCUAAGACAAGACGCAACGGCUUCCUUGAAUGAUCGUGAGAUCGAGAUGCGUCUUCUACUCCUCUUGUGGUUUCGCUCUCUUCGAUCUGUACUUGUGCAAAUGCAAACUAUCCAAUCUCCACCACCAACACCAUGCCGACGUGAUCGCGAAGUUUAGCUUAGAACGGAGGGAUGGACGACAAGGGGAGCAUGCGCGCCGAGGCGACUGGCGACUGGCGACGGCGACACAUCCGAUUGGUAGGACACAGGAUCGUACCAACAGACAACGGCGGCCCACGGCGGUAGCCUCGUCGUCACGUGGCAAACGCGGAGGAUCGAUCAAUCUGUCUCAAAACCGUCUCCACACGCCCCUUUGACAUCCUGCGCGACUGCGCGUGUCUCGCCGUCUCAACAUCACAACCAUCCCCGCGGCACGCGCGGACUUGGUGUUGGUGGCCGUGCCGUGCCGACCUCUUUUGGCUUCCGAACGCCUCCGCCGUACGGCAAAGAUGCAGCCUGCGUGCAGCUGCCUGCCUGCCUGGAUAUGGCAGCGGACAGCACGGCGAGACGAUGCAAGAAUUGCGAGUGAUCAGGACAGCGCCGCCCGUCAGUCCACGACGACCCACACCCACUCUCCGGGCCUCCGCCGACCGCCGUGUGCGGUGACGUUCAUCCGUUGGGUACAUCUAGAACGAAGAAGGCGUGAUUCCGUGACCUGACCAGCGGGUCUCGGUAAAAACUUUUGAUGUGCAAUAACGCGAUGAGACCGGGAUUUCAUUGACGGUGAUAAGCAGAGGCUGUUUGCGUACUCCUACUUUUCGUUAUUCGUUUCACCGCGAAGGUUUUUGUUUCCACGACGAGAGCACGACAGGACGAGGUGUAGGUGUGUGUAAACCGGCGGAGGCGGUGGCAGUUGAUGACACGGCACGAAGAAAGCUUGGAGAUUUGAGCACGCUAUGUUGGCCCGUAGUGUCCUUCUAAGCCUGCAAAACUGAUAAGCCCUGGGUUACGGGCCUACAUUGGCAGCAACCUUAACAGGCCGUCGUCUGUUAGAGUGUUAGUUUCAAAUGGGCCUUGACAAAUUUUAGCACGGAAUAAGUUCACUUGAGGUCUCUUAACUUGUCAUCGAAUCCGAUUUUCGUCCUUCAACCGGAAAACCAGAUACAAUGGAUCCCUCAACUAUCAAAACCGGUGCAAAUCAGGUCCCUCAGCGGCUUUGCUUGUGGUUUUGGCUGAUGUGGCGCCUACGUAGGAUUGGGCUUUCUUCUUUGGAUUGGAUUGGGCUUUCUUCUUUGGAUUGGGUAUCUUAUAGGAACAAGUCUAUUUUGCCUCCCUCAUAUUUUGCCCUUGGUCGAAUCGCAUCCACAACCGCAAAACUGGAUAUAACGCCUCUCCCAUCUCUAAAACCGCUUCAAAUUGACUCCUCGGGUGGUUUUGUUGAUGGUUUUAUCCUACAUGGCGCAUAUGUGGCAUUUUAGACAAAUAGUAAUAAUAGUGGCAAUGGGUCCCACAUGUCGGUUAAGUAUUCAUCCUCCUAUUGCGAGCCAACAACUCCGGCGAGCUCACGCCACCACGGUCACGCAGUAGCCACCACAAAUCAGGAAUCACCUUCGUCAUCACCCAAUUCCUCUGGCGGUUGCUUUCAACCACAACGCUUCAUCUCUGUAUUCUUCCUCGAUAACAACUCCAAGUGCAUUAAGGUCCUCACCAGCCACCUCGACGAGCUCUCCGUGGACAAUGCGACGCUACGCUCCGCCCAAUGCAUCCUCGCGGCGAAGCAAAGGGCGUCCUCCUUAGAUGCACCAAGAUGCAUCGGUGCCGACGCUGACGCAGCACAUGCACGAAGCUCCUUGACGGGACGCCUUGCCGAGCUCCCACCAUCACCUAGGGCCUCUACCUACUCCUCCAAGACUUCUCCGCCUCCAUCUUCCUCGAGGGGACGAGCCUCUCUCCCCACCAGCCGCCUCCUCUCGUCGGGAUUUCUCGGUUGCGGCAGGAAUCAGGAUGGGAAUGGUUAGGAUAUGGAUCGAACCUAAACCGUUUCAAUUGAGUUUAUUGAUCCAUGGUUUAAUAGGGUUAAUCCAUCAUGAGUCCAUUAUAUCAAUAGUUUAUUCAUAAAUAUCCAAAUGGAUCAUCUACGUUCCUAGUAGACAAAAAAAAAACUCUUAUUACAUGCAUGUAAAACUUGGGUCCAAAAUUUUUAAACACGUGUUCACAUUAUAAAAACUUAUCAAAUUUAGUUGAAUUUUGUAGAGAUAAUUUAUUGUAUGGAGAAGCAACUUUGUUCAAAUUUUUAAGUCAUUUAGACAUGUAGGGCCCACGAUGCAUUACUAAGAUUCAAAAUUCUAGUUACAUGUGUGUAAAACUCGGACCAAAAAAUUUCAAACUCAUGUUCACACUAUGAAAACUUGUUAAAUUUAGUUGAAUUUUGUAGGAAUGAUUUAUUAUAUAGAGAAGCAAUUUUGUACAAAUUUUUGGAACAUUUAUACAUGUGAAGUUAUUUUGUGCCGAACUCCUUAAACCUAGGUUCUAAUGGUUUGAGCCGUUUAAUCCAUUUAUAUUUUUGGAGCGACCCUAAAAAUCCGUUAGGAUAAAUUUACAGAUAGAUUUAGUGGAUAAAUGGAUCGAUCCUACCCAUUCCGAUCCUGAGGCAGGAACUUCCGGUUGUAGCGGAAGUAUCCUUAUGCACAAGUGACUCUCUCCGUGGAGUCGGCAGCGGCGGCAGUUGUGUCGGUGUUGUGAGAGGAUAGUGGCCUUCCGACGCCCCUUACCCCGUCGUUGGUCGCUGGGAGCUUCAAGCAACUCAUGUGCGUGUCGCUGGAGAAUAGGGAGAGAGGGCUGACUUGGGAUGACGCAGUGAGCGCCUUAAGCUCCCAUGCUGUCGUGGCUUCCGUUGACCUCUCAAAGCCCCUUGACUCACUGCUAGAGUGCUAGGAGCUUCGAGCUCGCGCACGUGACGGAGGAGAUGGGGAGAGAGGUCGGCUUGGGGGAUGAGCGGUAAGCACUCUGUCGACCUCCCGCACCUCCCGCGGUGCAGUGGCCUCCCAAAGCCCGUCAGCUCGCUUAUAGGAGGGGGGUCGCUGGGAGCUUCAAGCUCGCCCAUCCUCGGUGUGUUGAACUCCCGUGGCUUGGCUGCCUCUAUUGGGACGAUGGUGGACGAGCGGCCACACUCGGAGGGGCUCGCCAAUCACCUCCGCAACCUGGCUUGGUCAGGAAAAAAGGGGAAAAGAAAGAGAUGGGAGAAGAGGAGUGGGCACUGACACAUGUGUCCCACUGUAGCCCAUGCUGAUUUAGCGAGUGUAACCACGAUCAAAUAGCCACAUCAACAAAAAAAAUCACUUUCUAAACCACCAAAGAAGUCAAUUCGCACCCGUUUUUGAAGUUGGAGGAUGCAAUAUUCCCAGUUUUGCGGUUGAGAGAUGCAAUUCGACCAAGGACAAUAGUUGAGGGAAGUAAAUUAGACUUAUGUACAUGGCAUGACAUGGGCUGUGACAACAACUCGUCACUGCUCGUCUCGGCUCUACCUUACCCGUGUCGAACCACCCCUAUCAAACACGGUAUAGCGGUGGGCUUGGCCCGUUAGGACAGAACGUACCGGUGGCAAGCCACCAAUCCACCAUGCAUGUUUCUUCAAGAGAGAAUGCCGAGUUUUCUCUCUCGCGUCGUCACCGCAUACGCGUUUGUGUUGUGUAGCCGUUUACGUGUUGUUUUGACUGGCUGACGCAUCAUUUGCUUCUGUUUCUUCGCCUCCACGCUCCUUUGUCCUUCACGACUUUUCUCACAACUCGAUGACCGCUGACUCAGUUCGCUACCAUCGACGACGUGGUCGUGAAAUACAGAAAUAGUAAAUAUACGGCGGCACUCAGAAUAGCAGAAGGCCACGAACCAAAUGGAGCAAUUCAUGAUUCGCAAUUUGCUAAAGCUGAAACUAGAUUUAGUUCCACGCUAAAAUUAAAAGUUUAAAAAAAUUAAAACGAUGUGACGGAAAAGUUAGAAGUUUAUAUGUAUAAGAAAAUUCGAUGUGACGGAAAGGUUAAAAGUUUAAAGAAAAAAGUUGUGAGCUAAACAUGCCUAAGCUCAAGCCAUUGCCAUUGCUUUCUACAAACAGUAAGGAAAAGCAGGUGUACUAUAUAAAAGUUUAUGGGAUCGCCUGCAAAUUGCGAUAUAUCGUAAACAAAAGCACCCAGCGGAGCACACCGGUGACCGGUUAACCAAAGAUUAAUAUUUUCAUUUUCAAGCAAAGGAAUACACGAGUUUGCAUUGCGACAAGUACGACCUUGCGUGUGCUCGGGAUAGGUGUUUUGUAUAAAUGUUUCGCCAUAUUAUUAAGUAUUCUCCUUUAGUUUUUUUUCUCUAUCUAGAAAUAGAAUAGAAUAACCCGGUUGAAGGGUAAUGAUCAUACGUCUGUAAUGCAUUGUAUGUCCUAGAAUAGGGCCCAUUCUUCUACCCUUUCCGGGUAGUCGAUGGCUAUUCACAGCUACUACCUUAACACAAAAGAAGAGUUCGACCCAAUGCUUUAUUUCUGUCUUAGUGAAUCCCGAUUCGACAUUAAAAGUAUAUUGAUUCUUUCCCAAUAAACGAAGACUUUUUUCUGUAAAUACUGCGUAUUUGAUUUGCGAAAAGGAACACCACUUAUUAGAACGACAAUUAGAGUAUAUUUAAAUGCCUUGAUAAGUGGGUCUACUUCAUUCUGCGGUACAUGAGCUGGUCACCCUCGGCUCAAAACGAUUCUUGAACAAGUCACACUUUUCGGUUCUCAAAGAAGAAGAUAAGCAUGAAUAUAUGAUGGCUAGAGCUCAAAUCAGUAGACCACAACUACCUAGCAAAAAGUACUCCCUUCGUCCCAUUUUAAACGUAACCAUAAAUUUUCAUGUUCAACUUUAAUAGUUUAUCUUAUUUAUUUUUUAAAAAAAAUAAAAAACAUAAGUCACAUAAAAUAAUAUUCAUGUUUUAUCAUCUAGUAUCAAUAAAAAUAUCAAUCAUAUAAAAAAGUUUUAAAUAAGAUAGACUAAAGUUGGACACGGAAACACAUGAUUGUAUUUAAAAUGGGACGGAGGGAAUAGUAAUAGAUGAAAAGGUUUUACUAUAUAAAUAUCAAGAAUUGUCUGAUUUGAUGCAAGAAAACAUGUAGAAUAAUGCAUAGAAAAGGACCAAUCAAUUAGUACAAUACAAUCCUGAAGUCACAUCAUGCUUAAAAAGCUAAAUUACGACUCGCAAAAGUAUAGACAAUCCACACAAUAAGCAUUGUUUAGUUCUCAAAAUUUUUUUCCCAAAAACAUCACAUCAAAUCUUUGUCACAUGCAUAAAGUAUUAAAUAUAGAUAAAAUAGAAAACUAAUUACACAGUUUGCGUAAAAAUCACGAGACGAAUCUUUUGAGCCUAAUUAGUCCAUGAUUAGCUAUAAGUAAUACAGUAACCCACAUGUGCUAAUAAUGGAUUAAUUAAGCUUAAUAAAUUCGUCUCGCGGUUUCCAGGCGAGUUAUGAAAUUAGUUUUUUCAUUCGUGUCCAAAAACCCCUUCCGACAUCCGGUCAAACGUCUGAUGCGAUACCUGAAAAUUUUCUUUUCGCGAAUUAAACGAAAUGCCUAAGGCUCGACCUUAGCAAAGCUACGGUACAUAACAAGGCAUUUUCUAGAUAAGAGAUACCGACCUGUUUAGCUCGAGCAGAAGCAAUAGCAGAAACAAAUAGACCAUCUGUCAGUCUGUCACUGAAUUUUUUUCUCCCCAGGAAGCUGACACUGGAACUUGAAUAACAGCUUAAAAAGAGUAAAGCCUGAACACAACGAAACACCAGCACCAAAAUUUUCAAAGCCGGUUAAACAAAUUCAAGCACUUCAAAGUUCUCUAGAAAAAUUGUAAAAAAGAAUUAUACACAGACUGACAGACAACGACAAGUCAAUACACUGAUCCCUCAAGCUCACACAUUACUUGGAGUCAAACAGCAAAGUAUGCAAAACCAAGGAAAUAUCUAUUAUCACUAUAUCCUAUUAAUGUUGAAAUAGGAAAAAGAUUAUAAACGAAAUUGCUGUACAUGUAACAUCACAUAACUACAGAAACAAGGGUAUCAGGAUAAGUUUACAUGAACUCAUCACCCAAUAGAACGUUUUGGAACCUUUUUUUUAUAGAAUUUUUAGCUUUGUCCACAACACGCCAAGAUAACAAGCAUUUUACACAAAGCAGAUAUCGACCUUGAGUAGCAAGUAGAUAUAUAAAGAAUAAGUCCGUACAGAUGCUUGUGUUCUAGAAGUCUUGAACUGAAACAAUACAGUGAACCAGUAGGAAUAAAAACUUCCAAACAAGCACCAAAUGCAUAACAAUAUAAUCUCAAUAUUAGAACGUAAAAGGAAAGGAAAUCAACACUCCACAGGAUGCAUCAGCGUUAACAAUAUAAAAGCAAACUAGACUUAAGCAGAGUUUCUCUUUUUCACAACAAGCCAGAAUUUGGCAUAAUAAAGCAAAACUAUGCAUGAGCUUCCCCUGUUAACUGAAAAGAACAAUGCACGAAUUAUUGUAUUGAAGUCAAAGCAGCUUCUUCAGAUGCAUGCAAUGGAACAAUAUUUUCAUGUUUACUAGGACAAUUUACCGAGCAAGCAACCAUCAACAAGCAAAAGAAAAUGCACAAAAACACUAUUAUUACUAGGGGAACAUGCUAAAACAAGAAGCAAUACGGCUCGCCGAAAAACAAGAAGAAGCAAUAUUAAAUAACUUUCUCAUAGUUUCGUAAUAACGAAAAUUCUUCAUAGAUUAAUAGUACAAUGUACAGAUGAUUACACUUUAUACAAUUAACAAUCCUACAAGCCCAAUAAUCAAUUUCCACAACCUAAACUCCUCAACAACCACAUCCAAUACAUAAUUAGAGGAGAUUCCCAACUAAACUUCCCCUAACCCGUCCAGAACAUUACGGUUCUGAAGCAACCUUGUUAGCCCAUGAUCACAUAACAAAAGGAAAACGAUCAGAACAUCUGAAGAGAAAAGAUAUCAGAACAUCUGAAAAUCCCCUCCCAUUGGAGCUUUCACAAAUAACACCAAUCACCUCUGCAAGACCAAAACACACGUUCAGAAUUCAGAAAUCAGAGCGAAGCAAAGAAAAGAACCCAACCACACGAACACAUCGAACGACCCCUUACCUCUUCAAUCUUGUAUGUCUCCGGCGUCAGGUCCGCUAGGCACAAUCCAGGGUACAGCAACUGCAAUUCCCAAAAAAGAAGGAAAUUGAAUCAAACACCGAACUUGGAUGCCCAAAAUUUUGCAAAUUUACAAGCCCAUAGGUUGAAUCCUUACGUCGAGCUGGCGUUGCACGGUGCGGGGGCGCUUCUUGGGCCGGCGCGGGGGGCGAGUCCCGCGGAUCGCCUUGAAGUCCUGGCCGAUCUCCUCCUUGGACAGCACGAUGGAGAACACCCGCUUCUUGGUCGCCGCCAGCGGCGAUGGCGCUCGAUCCGGCGCGGCAUCGGCCGCGUCGUCCGAUCCCUCCGGACGCGGCGCGGCCGUGGCGGAGCGGCGGGUGCGGAGGUUCCACGGCCGCUGCGGACCCCGCUGAGGCGAACAGCCGCCGCCCACGCCGUCGGUGGAGCGGUGGGCCGCCUUCUCCUUGUCCGGCGACGGGGUGUCCGGCGCCGCGGGAGGGGGCGACGAGGCGGGGUUCUUGGAGCAGCGGAGGAGGCGGUGGGUGCCCCAGCUGAGGGUGGGGAACGAGAAGCUGUGGAGCCGCGUGCGCGACGGCUGCGGCGGAGCGGGAGCGGGAGCCGGAGCCGGAGCCGGAGCCGGGGAAUCCUCCGAAGGAGACGAGGAAUUGCCGGCUCGGUGGCGGUCGUGGUCGUCGACGGCGGCCAUGAGGACCAUGGGAGGGAGAGGCCGCGCGAGGAAGGAUGCCAGAAGGGGGGCGAAGCGAAGGAAGCGAGGAACGAGAGAAACACAGAGAGGAGAGGAGGAUGAGGGAGGAGGAGAGAUAGAGAGAGAGAGAGGAGGGGUCAGUUUUGAAAACGGGGAAAGGCGAGUUUCUUUUUGCAUCUGGACCCCCGGGAGAUUCAUGUAUUACCCCGCGGGGUUAUUUCCUUUCUUUUUUUUUUUUGUUUUGGAGCUUGGGGCUUCGGGGACUCGCCUUCGGUGCGGUGCCUCCCUGUCGCGCGCGUGAGAUUGGGACGCGCCGGCGGAUGGGAAAUCCACCCAUCCAUCCGUCCAGUGGUGGGAGCGUGGGCAGGCGGCGUCGCGUUCCGUUUCCUCCCCACGUCGGGUGCGCGCGGCUGCCGCGCGCGGGGGUCGCGGAGGAAACGGGGGCGUGGCGCGGGCGACAUCACGAGGGCUGUGCAAGUUGCCGUCGUCGGGUCGAGCCGCCGCCAUCACAUGCGUCGCCGCGCGCUCGAGGUAGGCAGGCGGGGCGGGCGCCGAGGGGGCCCCCAGGCCGCGCCCAUGGUUCCGUGCGCCUUCUUUGCGGAGGUUUGGGCGUUUGGCGUCCGGGGGGAGUUGUCACUUGUCAAUGCUGGGGCAAAAUUUAGCCGUGGAUAGCAACAGGCCGAGCCAGGGCGGAAGCCGUAGCUACCGGUUUCGCGUUUGGCGACUUGGGUCGCCUUCUCGACGGAACAAUCGGUACGUUUCGAGGCUUGUGCUGAUCUGCUACUCCUAGUUUGCACUUUUGACCAUUUAUUACUCGUGUCGGUUUCGUUUGACAUGUUUUUCUUUUGGGAAUAUUUUAUUUGACAGGUUAGUUCAGGAAAUCAACCGUGGAAUAAGAAUAAGGACGACUAACCGAUUUUGCCAACGAUCAAUUUAUUGAGACAUGUGAUGAUGCGUAGUAAGCAUAAUACUAACCCUGUUCUUGAUAGCUGAAAGUUAUUAUAUUUUAAAAUGGAAGGAGUACAUGUUAACAAAGUUUAACAAUAACAUAUACUCCCUCCGUUUUAAAAUAUUUGACACCGUUGAUUUUUUAGCACGUGUUUAACCAUUCGUCUUAUUAAAAAAUUUAUGAAAUAUGUAAAACUAUAUGUGUACAUGAAAGUAUAUUUAACAAUAAAUCAAAUGAUAUGAAAAGAAUAAAUAAUUACUUAAAUUUUUUUGAAUAAGACGAACGGUUAAACACAUACUAAAAAAUCAACGGUGUCAAAUAUUUUGAAACGGAGGGAGUAUCUUUGAAGAUAUAUAGGAUACCAGUAGUACAGGUUCAUAUCUUCAGUGUAUUGUGCAACUAGGUAAACCCUCAAAAUUCUUCUCUUCUCGUGGGGCACACUAAAAAUUAUUAAUUUUCUUGGUCAACUUCAUUUUCUUUUACAGUAUAUUGCUAGUUCUUGUAGAUAGGCAGUUUCUAAGACAUUAAUUUUUUUCUUUCCAUAAACAACCUUUAUUGGUGCAUUUUGUACAUUUGCUCAAUUUUUUUCCAUGCGAGGAUAAAGGCAUGAUCUUUCAUGCCCAACUUUAAUCAUCCGUCUUAUUUCAAAGUCUUUUGAAAAAAAGAUUAAAAACAUAAGUGUUACAUAAAGUACUAUUCAUAUUUUAUCAUCUCAUAAUAACAAAAUAUUAAUUGUAAAAAAAUCCAAAUAAGACGGACGAUCAAAGUUGGUUGCACUUAAAAUGGGACGGAUGGAGUAUUAUAGAGUUUGGUCAACAAUUACUCUGAAAUCAAACAUUAAGUGCAUAAUCUAAAAACAUUUUUUUUGUGUGAAUUGUAUAAGCUACCAUCCUCGUUUUAUGUUUAGAGAUUGUUUCAUCCCACGAGAAAAGUACAAAACACGCAAAUUGUUAGUUGUUGAUCUAGUGGUUAAAAAAGUCAUUAACAGAUUAGGAGAAACAGUUGCUGAUUCCAAUUUAGCUGGCAUAUAAAUCUGAAGCGAACGUUAGGGAUCAUUUUUCCAGCAACUAGCUGGGUGGCCCGCGCAAUUGCGCGGCUAGCAUCCAUAUAAAAUUAUCUAUUUUUAAUAUGAUUUUAAUUAAAUUUUAUUGAAUAGUUAUCUCAUUAUUUUAAAACUUUUAAAAAUCAAACCAUAUCAUCCACAUGUUUAAUUUUAUAGUUUUUAAAAGUUACAUUUUUCUUUAUUUGCUUGCUCGAUCUAUCACUAUUCCUAUUCAUUCUCCUUGGAAACUUUAAAAUUUUGAUCUUAUAAUUUUUAGAGUUUAUUGUUUCAUUGGGUUUCGUUUUUAUAAUUUUUAAAAAUCCCAUCAAACACUACCACUCUACUCCUCUACUGCCCAUCCGUUGCCUCCUUUCUUCAUUGUUAUUGGGAUUUUUAAAAUCGAACAUAAUUAUUGUUUGGGUUCAUUUGUUAAUUUCUAGAAGUCCCGCCAAACCGUUAGCGGCUUUGCCACUGUACUCUUCUAUGGCCCGUCCGCUGCCUCCCCUCUUUAUUAUCGUUGAGAUUUUAAAAUCGAACAUUAUUAUCAUUGUUUUUUUUUACUUUUUAGAAGUUCCGAAUCUUUAAAAAUAGGACAUGGUAGUUUUUAGAGUUUAUUGUCUCGUUGAGUUUCAUUUUUAUAUUUUUAGAAGUCUCAUCAAACGCUACCACUGUACUCUUCUAUGGCCCGUCUGCUGCCUCCUCUCUUUAUUGUUAUUAGGAUUCUAAAAAUCAAACAUAAUUACUGUUUGAGUUCAUUUUUUUUUACUUUUUAGAAGUCUCAUCAAACGCUACCACUGUACUCUUCUACGGCCCGUCUGCUGCCUCCUCUCUUUAUUAUCAUUGGGAUUCUAAAAAUCAAACAUAAUUAUUGUUUGAGUUCAUUUUUUUACUUUCUAGAAGUCCCACCAAACUAUUAUCGGCUUUGCCAUUGUACUAUUCUAUGGCUCGCAUGCUCCCUCCUCUCUUUAUUAUCAUUGAGAUUUUAAAUUGGAACAUUAUUCUCAUUGUUUUUUUUACUUUUAAAAGUCCCGAACCUUUAAAAAUUAGAAUUGUACUUUUAGAGUUUAUUAUCUUGUUUCGUUUCAUUUUUAUAAUAUCUAGAAGUCUCGUCAAAUGAUGUCACUUCAAAUGAUGUCACUGUACUCCUUUAUAUACCAUUGUUUAGUUCUAAAGAUACAAUUAUAUUACAUAUAUUUAUGUUAUCAAUCUUCACCGUUCUAAUUUGGUUCUACCACAGUCUAACGGCUUUGAAUUUAUUCUUCGAUUAACGUGAUAAUUUAUAUCCUUUAGAAUAAAUAUGGCACAUUCUUUUCGAGUUGUCUUAACAAUAAAGAUUUCUACGUUUUUUUAUGUCUGUGAUGAUUUUCUAAAGCUAUCUUAAUAAUAUAUAUAUAUAUAUACAUAUUUGGCAAAGAAUAUUUACAUAUUUAUUAUUGGUAUUAUAUUUUUGUUACAAAUUUUAUUUUUUAGUUUAUUUUGGAACCCAUAUUUUCAAACGAAAACAUUUUAAUUGUAUCGCUUAAGGUGUGCACCUGGCUAGCUGCUGUGCACAUGCCAUUGUUCCUUCUGUUUGUUGACGUGCAUCGUCCAAUUCCUGCUCAUCGUGCAGCCGCGCGGCUCGACCCGAUGCUGUGGAUUUCCGUUGCUACUAUACAUUAUAGCCUAACUAAUUUAGAACCUAACUUAAGUUUAGGAAAUCGGACAAAACUAUUUUGAGUCCGUUUGCAUGUAAAGGACCUAGUUAGAGAUUGAUUCUAAUUCAGUUAACAUGCCAAGUUUGUGUUAAAUCUUAGACAUUGAAAUCUAUGCCUCUUACAAUCCAACGGUGUAAAUAAUUUAUAUUUUCUUCGAUUAACGUGGGAAUUUUUAACCUCCACGGUGAACGUGGUGCCUUCUUUUCGAGCUGUCUUAAUAAUAUAAUAGAUAGAUGGUGGAUCUAGAGCAUUCUAUCAAGAGCUUCUUCAGAGCCUCGCUAAGCUCUCUAGCGGUGGAAACAUGAUCGCUGUGCACCUUCUGAAUCAUCUCUUCAAUGGCAGAAAGGGCGUCGUCCACCUUUUUCCUCUCGUCCUCGAUGGCACGACGCUUAAGGUAGCGUUUGGUUGGAGGGAUAUACCGGGAUGGGAUGAGAUCAUCCCAUUUUUAGAUGUGUUUGGUUGAGAGGCUAGAAGGGAUGGAAUGGCUCUAAAAGGGAAUAUUCCUUCAAUAUUCGGGACCGAUUCAUCCGGGAAAAAGAGGCGGACCGCGCCAUCCCACUUCCGCCUCGCGCCUCACUCGUCUCGGCGCGGUAACCCUCGCGCCCCACCACAUAUUUUCACCACUUCUAUUUUUUCCCUUCGCUCUUUUCUCUCAUCCUCACGAGUCCGUUUCUAGGGUUAGGGUUAGUGGCGGCGGCGGAAGCGCACGAGGCGGCGGCGCGAGCAGGGCGCGGCGGCGGCGGCGCGCGAGCAGGGCGCGGCGGCGGCGCGAGAAGGGCGAGGCAGCUGCAAGAGGAUUGUAUUGGAGCUAUUGAUGGCACACAUAUUAGAGCCUCUGUUCGUAAGAAUGUGGAGUCCUCUUUUCGUGGUAGGAAGUCCCAUGCCACUCAAAAUGUAAUGGCGGCCGUAGAUUUUGAUCUUCGGUUUACUUAUGUCCUGGCUGGUUGGGAGGGGACAGCACAUGAUGCUGUAGUUUUAAGAGAUGCUUUGGAACGUGAAAAUGGCAUUCAUGUCCCACAAGGUAAUAGAUUACUAUAGUUUAUCAAAUUCUCCAUGACAAAUGUUGAUAUUUAGGAAUGUGACCAACUUAUCGAUCAUAUGAUAGGAAAAUUCUAUCUAGUUGAUGCUGGAUAUGGAGCCAAACAAGGAUUCUUGCCUCCUUUUCGUGCUGUCCGGUACCACUUGAAAGAGUGGGGGAAUAAUCCGGUGCAAAAUGAGGAGUUGUUCAACCUUAGACACUCAUCCCUCCGUAUAACGGUUGAACGUGCAUUUGGGUCACUAAAGAGGAGGUUCAAAGUUCUAGAUGAUGCCACUCCAUUCUUCCCAUUUCGAACUCAAGUAGAUAUUGUUGUAGCUUGUUGUAUUAUUCAUAACUGGGUCAUAAAUGACGGAAUUGAUGAGCUUGUAGCUCCGUCUGAUUGGUCAAGUGAGGACAUUGAUGAAUCGUCAACCGGCCAAGCGAAUGAACAUGCAUUGAUGGUUCAGUUCAGGCAGGGUUUAGCUGAUCAGAUGUGGGCUGACCGUAAUAACCAUCAUGGAGUGUAAUAUGUAGCUAUGCAACUUGUAUUUCUACCUUAUUUGCUACAUUUCAUUUGUAUUAUGAACUUCUUUAUUUAUUUAUUUCGUGUGGACAGCUUGUUAUAGUCCAUUUGCCAAAUCUCAGUUGUAUGGAUAAAUGUAUUGUUGUAUGCUGAAUUUUUGGUUUGAUGAAUUGAUGAAUGUUGAAUUUUUGGGUUAAUAUGUUGCUGGAUGCUAAUAUUCUGGGUUGAUAUGUUGGUGAAUGGUAAUUUUUUUGGGUUGAUAUAUUGCUGAAUGGUCAUUUUCUGGGAUGAUGUGUUGGUGAAUGGUAAUUUUUUGGGUUGAUAUAUUGCUGAAUGCUCAUAUUCCCGGUUGAUAUGUUGGUGAAUGGUAAUUUUUUGGGUUGAUAUGUUGCUGAAUGAUCAUUUUCUGGGUUGAUAUGUUGGUGAAUGGUAAUUUUUUGGGUUGAUAUGUUGCUGAAUUCUCAUUUUUUUUAUUAGAUAUAUUGCUGAAUGGUUAUUUUCUGAGUUCAUAUAUUGUUGCAUGCAUAUUUUAUUGAUAUAUAUAUUACUGAAUGGACAUUUUUGUUUUAUUUUAUGAUAGGUAGGAAAUGGACAACAACAGUGGCAAGGGAGGUCAGCUAUGUCCUCUUUCAUGCUUUCUCACCUAGCUAAUAUUGUUGCUGGUGGCACAAGGACCUCAUCUGGUUUCAAGGCAGUCCAUCUCAAUGCAUGUGCUAGGGCGGUCAAUAAAAGGUUCAAUAGUACUCUCACGGGUGAGCAAAUUAAGAACCAUUUGAAGACAUGGCAAAGAAAGUUCUCGAAGAUAAAUAGGCUUAGGAAAGUGAGUGCUGCUGGUUGGGAUGAGAAAAACUUCAUUAUUACUCUCGAUGAUGAGCACUAUAACGGUUAUAUUGAGGUAUAUGUCUUAUUUUCUGGGUUCUUUGCUUUAUUUUUAUAACUUUUUAUUGCAUUUGCUUAUACAUUAACUUUUGUUUCAUGAAGGAUCACAAGGCUGAUGCGGAUUAUUUUAACAAACCUCUUGCACACUAUGGUGAGAUGCUUACAAUAUUUGGUAGCACCAUGGCUACAGAAAAGUAUGCAAAGGACUCAAGUUCAGUCCUAGGAACAGAGGAUGUCCAAGAUGACAAUGAUGAAGAAAAUGAUGGUCCUGCCACUACUGAUGAUCGUGCGGAGGCAUCAUCUGCAAGUAAGCCAAAGAAAGCAAAAACACAAGAGAAUGAAGAUGGUGGGCUGAUUGGUGCAUUCACUAGUGUUGGUGACAAGCUUGCCUAUGCUAUACUAAAGGUCGCCGAGCCGGACAAUAAGCUUCCAGAAGGUUUAUUUGACACAUUGAAAACCCUUCCUGGUUUUGAGGAGGUCCAUAGAUCAUUUUACUAUGCUCAUUUGGUUGCCAACCCUCACAUUGCUAGAGCUUUCGAUAGACUUCCAUUUGAAAACAAGAUUGGUUUGCUAUGUUCAUUAGUGAAAAGUUCCCUGGAUCAACAUAGGCUUCUUGGAUGAGUUGGAUAGUUCUUUUGGUGUUAUGUGUUGUUGGUUGGCUUAUUUACCUAUUAUAUGUAAGACUUUAAACUGCCAAUAUGUUUGAGGCAGAGAACUUACUAGACUUAAAAUUGCUAUCAUGUGCAAGAAUUAAAUGUGCUAUUAUGUGUAAGACCUUCAGUUGCUAAUAUGUGUAAGACUAAAAUUUGCUAUUAUUAUGUGUGGCUUGUAUUAUAUGUGCACUGUGGAGCUUAUACUGUUGCAGCAAUUAGUAUGGGCAUACAUGAAGUUUUAUUAAAUUCUUUUAAUAACUUAUGGAGCUAUAUUGUUUGCGAACAAAUUCACAAUGGUCAUUUUCAAAUAGUGUGGUGUUCAUGAGUAGGUAUUAUUUUGCACUGUGUGGUAUUCAUGACUAGUUAAGGGUAACCUCACCAACUAAUAUCAAUAGGUAACCCUAUCAAGCAUCCCACCUUCAUCUCUCCAUCCAAACAAUGUAUAGGAUCAUUCCAUCCAUUAUAUCCCUCAAACCAAACAAAAAAAACAGUGCUCGUUCCAUCCCUGUAACCAAACAAAAAAAACAGAAUCAUCCCAUUCCAAAAAAAAUAGGGAUGGACCUAACCCAUCCCACCCUGUUCCCAAACCAAACACUACCUUAAACACUACCUUAUUCUACAAGAAUUCCUCGAGCAAAUUCUUCGCCUUGAUCCUCUCCUUCUCCUCAUCCGCUGCCAUGUACUCCUUCGCCUCCAUAGUCAUCCUCUCGAUCUCCUCCUUGCUCAGCUGACUCUGUUCCAUGACCCUCAUCUGGUUCUUAUGCCCGUUCACCUUGUCCCUCGCAGAGACCGUCAAGACGCCGUCGGCAUCGAUGCUGAAGCACACAGACACAGAGAGCUUCACUCCGGGCUUUGCUUUGCUGUGAGCCCCCGGAAGUUUCGAUCUCGCAGAGGAGAGUGUUCUCACUUGCUUGUGGCCUCUCUCCUUCGAAAAUUGAGAUAACAAUACCUUUCUUGUGAUUGGGCUGGAUGGAGAUAGUAUUCUCCCUCGCCAUGACGGGAAUCGGGGUGUUCUUUGGUAUCAUCACUGCCAUGGCGCCUCCGGCCGCCGCCACGCCGAGCGAGUGCGGCGUGGCGUCGAAUAGGAACAGGUCCACCAAGCUGUCGUCGCUGCCGAGACUGGCCAUGGUGGCAGCACCGCACGCCGCCGCCUCGUCAGAGCUGAUGUCCUUGCGGAGCUCCUUCCCGUCGAACAGGUCCUGAAUCAGACGGCGCACGCGAGGGAUUCGGGUUGAUCCGCCGACGAAGACGACGUCGUCCACGCUGCUCCUGUCCAUCUUGGCGCCCGUGAGGCACUUCUUGAUGGGAUCCAAGCACUUGCAGAACAGGUCCAGGUUGAGUUCGUCGAACUGGUCGCGCGUAAUGGUGGAGUAGAAGUCUGCGCCAUCGUGCAAACGUUCGAGCUCAAUGGCGGCCCAGCUCGCCGACGAGAGCGUCCUCUUCGCCUGCUCGCACGCCGCCCUGAGCCUCAAAAUAGCCCUCGCGUUGCGACCGACGUCUUUCUUGUGCUCUGCCUUGAACUGAGCGACGAAGUGUUCGACCAUGCGGCCGUUGAAAUCCUCGCCGCCAAGGUGGGGGUCGCCGGCGGUCGCCCUGACGGCGAUCUUGCCGGACGCGACGGCGAGGAGUGACACGCUGGUAUGACCGCCUCCAAGAUCAAAGACGAGCACAUUCUUGUCGCCCGCGAUUUCGUGGAUGCCAAAGGCGACGGCGGCGGCCGCUGGCCCGUGGAUGACGCCGAGGACGUCGAGCCCCGCGACGGCGCAUGCGUGCUUGGUGGCCCGGCGCUGGAGGACGUCGAACGACGCGGGCACCGUGACCACGGCGUUCUUGACUGGCCCCCCGAUGUAGGCCUCGGCCUCUGCCUUCAUCUUUGAGAGCAGCAUGGACGCGACCUCCUCCGCGGCGAGCAGCUUCUGCUUGCCCUUGUAGCUCGCGGCAACCAUCGGCUUGUCGCCACGGCCCGGGACAACCUUGAACGGCCACAGCUUCAGGCCGUCCUGCACGGACGCGUCACUGAAUCUUCUCCCCAUCAAUCGCUUCGUAGCUAGUAGACGGCAGGCAGUUGAAUGUCAGGGCCGGUCGAAAGAGUACGAGACGAUAUGCAAAAAGACGGAGAAGGGGCGAUACGACAACGGACUCACCGAAGACGGUGUUGGUGGGGUUCCGGGAGGCCUGGCUCUUGGCCGCGUCGCCGACGAGCCUCUCCGUGUCGGUGAACGCCGCGUACGACGGCGUGGCCCGCCCGCCAUGUUCGUUGGUCACGAUCUCCGCGCGGCCGUUCUGCCACACGGCCACGCACGAGCACGCCGUGCCGAGGUCGAUGCCGAUCACUGGACCGUGCUGGUCGCCCGUCUCUGCCAUCAUGAGAAAUUCAGGGGAGCCGAAGCGAUGGGGUUGGGGAGAGGUGACAGUGACACCGAACCACCGAGCAACUAUUAAAGGAAGAUUUGAGGAGAAUCAAUUAGGAGAUGAACCGAUCGAGAGCUGGGUUUGGGUAUGACGCUUCGGCCUCUCAACGGAUGCCCGUUGCUACCAGCAGCGUACGUUCGCAUUUCGCAAUCAAAGCGACCAUGCAUUCCACAGACGAACUCUAGCCAGCCCCGGAAUACAAAACGCCGAAGAUACUUCCUGGUCAGGAGAUGACUCGUGUUCUGGAGCACGCUGCCUUGUUGCAUGUACUUACUCCGUUUGUUGCAUGUACUUACUCCGUUUCAUAUUAUAAGGGCACCCGCAAUGGUUAUUUAUAGGCUCUCUACAAGAGGUCCAUAUCAGUAUAUUUUUCUACUUGGAAGAGAUUAAAUGAAGAGAGAGAGAGCAAAGCUAUCUACUAACCUAGAGAUAAUCUAUAGAGAAAAACGAGGCAAUGCAUUAGAGAGCUAUAGAUACCCAUGUAGACAUGCUAUUGAGGUGGUUUACUAUUAAUCUAGUCUAUUGCUAGAGAGCACCUUACUUUACCAUUGCGGGUGCUCUAAGACUUUCUAGCAUUGUCCAUAUUCCUAUGUAUGUUAAUGAAUCUAGACACAUUCAUUAAUAUCUAUAUAAAUGUGGAUAAUGCUAGAUAACCUGAAAUGGAGAUAGUAGUCAAGUCUGUCGCCCUAAACAGCAAGGAGGUUUGGGAAUAAGAAGCAUUCAGGCUCAAAAUGAUGCGCUCCUCGAAACCUCUUUUAGAUAGACUCGUCCUGGGAUACAUGGCUGUAGAAUGAAGUGAGAUAGAUCAAAAACCUGGUAAGCAUGUGACUUCACUGGACGUCUAGAAUUGUUGUUUUAGCUUGAAAAAAUGUUUUAUCCCGCUCCGUAAAUUCUGAUGAUCAGUAAUGACAUGCCGCUGGCUGUGCCCGACCUCAUAUAUAACCUUGUAACCUACUCCCUCCGUCCAAAAAAAAGACAAACCCUGAGUUUGCAUGUUCAGAUUGUCUUUUUUUUUUACGGAAGGAGUAAUGUUUACUUCCAUUUUCAAUGGAAGAUUCAUGUGAGGAAUCUCUCCCCUCUGAUAAUUUCUUCAAAAAAAAAACAUUUUUACACUAAACAGUCUAAAGUUCUACCGAGUUUUUUAACAAAGAAAUUGUUUUGGCGUAUAUGUAUGAGAUUCAAGCGUAGUAUAUAAUGUGAUGCUACUACUCUAAGCGCGACACUUUAGCACGUUAAUUUGGUCUGUUUCAAUUACACACCGUGGCAAAGGCGUUCUAGAUUGUUUAUGCAGGGAAAGUCUAUUUGUCCUUAAGGAAUGUAGUCUAAAAAGAUAUUAUAAUUGAUAAGAUACUAGAUCAAUACUUGCUUUUUUUUUGAUAAAUUUGUGAUAUUAAGUUAAAUCUGCUGUUUGAUACGAUAGAAGUCAAAUUUAUAAUUACAUGUUAUUGAUUGAUUUUCUUUUGAACAAAAAAUAAUGAUAGACGAGUCUUCGAGGUAGGGAUGUAAAUGGGGCGGACAAGCAGAUUUUUUUAGCCCGCUUAUCUCAUUUCUAGUUUAUUUUUUCUUCUAAAUUUUAUACUAUCAUAUGAGAAAUAAACUAGCAAACGAGUUUUUACGUGGGUAGUAGCGUUACUAUCACUUGCAUCCCUACUUCGAGGUACGAUCGAAAAUAACGAUCUCCAUCGUUCUCCCCGGCCAUAUGCGCGAUGCUUCCCCCAGCGUGCGUGACCGCAUGUCGACCGUGGGCUUUUCGAAGGAACCACGUGCAGGUGCAUCCUCUGUCUGCAAACAACAUCUAGCUAGCUCUCCAAUCCAUGCACCACUCACGGUCCACGGCACGGUUACUCUUGCAACCAAAGCAGCGAGAAGAAGGUGUCCAUAUCAACCGUGCAAAUCCAAGCCACCAGCCGCAACUGCAGCUAGAGAAACCCAGCUAGCGAGAGGCAAAUUAGGGCAUGUUCAAUGGUAGAGACGAGUAUGUUCUCUUAAACAAUACAAGAUUAUUUAGAGAUCAUAUCUUUAUAAUAGUUGAGACAAUAAAGGCUCUAAUCAUUAACUCAAAAAAUAUUCCUUUUGUUAAUAUUAUUUCCAUAUUUAUAUCCUCAUGCAACCAUAUUUCCAUAUUAUAGUGACUAAGAGUCGUUGUUAAGCCGUUGUCAUGCAUAACAACGAUGUUUUGUAUCUCCUCUUUCUCUUUCCUCCAUGUCAACAAGUAUUCCUAAUUAGCAACGCUAAGAGACCACUAUUAACAACCAUUAUACAUGCCCUUGAACCAGAUCGAAGUUUGACGCCAGCCAUGAGAAACGACGUGAACCUUUGCAAAAUCUUACCGGCGACAACGCCUCCAUCCAUCGAUGAUCGAUCACCCUUUGGCGUUCUCCAUCGAUCGUCUGCGAGACUGCGAUGCAUAUAUGCUGUGCCUGGGAUGUGGUGGUUGGUCUCGAGCCUUGACGCAACAUACGCAAUCUGACGCUGACGGCCUGACGAGCGACUUGUACACGCACGUACUGAUGCCGCCCCGGAAGAAUUAAGAAGGACGUACGACUACAAUUCCUCGGCCGGGGUUAGGUCGUGCUUGGCGUUUAAUUUGUGGCAAAUGCGACGUUGAUUGGGCUGGCUAGCUCUUGAUGAUCAUAACCUGCGGCACAGAGGAUUAUCCUGUUGUGCUAGGCUGACUGAAAGGGAGAUGCCUCCCGAAUCCGAUGGAGGAGUUGCUAGUAGUACUAGCUUGUUGCUUAUUGUUGGCGCCUGUUUCACUUUGAUGCUAUUUUCAACUAUAUUAUUUUUGAUAAAGUUGUCAAGAAAAUAUAUACGUUUAGUUUGUUGUCAAAUUUGAUAAAUGCGUAAGAAAUUCUACAAAAAUUUUGAUAAUAUUGUCAUCUUACCAAAAUUUUGGUAUUGCUAAAAUUGAUAAGGUUUAUUUUGGCUAUAAUCUGAACAAGUCCUUGAUGUUGAUGGUUAUGAUAUCCGUCUGAUGAUUCAUUUUCUCGUUUUACCAUCGGAGACUAUAUAUAGGACGGUUCUGUUGUCUUAUCAAGUUCAUUAAUAGCAUGUCUACUUUGGGCUUGUUGCUUAGCUCUAGGCUUAAUCAGACGUACUGUAGGACGAAAUAAUCAACAAAGAUUGUGUGUGCUCAUGUAUGAUGUAUCAAUGGAUAAAAUGUCAAUGGAUAUAUGAUAUAGUAGUACAAUA
rnacentral:lncRNA from 1 species